UUUUUUUUUGUUAUUGACCUACUGCUGUUGUCAAACUACUGUUGUCAUUAACCUGCUGUUGCUGCUGUUGUAAGAGAAGAAGGAGCACGCCCAGGAGAGGAAGGAGCAAGCCCAGGAGAAAAACAACAAGCGGGAGAAGAGGGGAGCAAGCCCAACUUAAACUAUUGUUGUUUAUGUUGUUACACGCUUGUUGAUCCGCCAGACUCCACAGCUGCUCUGCAUCGUCCACACAUGCCAGUUUUAUUAUCUUUAGUUCUUGGUUAUAUUAUAGUUAGAAUUAUACUGUGUGACUGAGUUCUGUUGGGAGUGUGCAUGAUUUUAUCCAUAGCUAGCACUAUUGAUAGAGCUUUGUGUGUAAUCUGGAGUUGUUCCCGUUAUUGUUCUAUCCAUUUAUUGGUGUUACAUGUGUAGCCAGUAACCAGGACAUGUACUUGUGCCAUGCAUAUUCAUAUAGUCUCUAUUGUCUUGUAUGAAUAUCUCAUUUUAACUAGCUCGGCUAAAAAAGCUUGGUACUAGCUGAAAUCUGUUUAUCAUUAUAUAAAGAAUCGUCCUUUACCCACUUACUACUUUUUUUUGAAUGGAAUGUUCAUAUUAUAUUGGAUCCAGAUUUUCUGAUUCUUCUCAGCCGAUUCAUGUAACAGGGCGACUGUGGAAGGCAUGUUGUAUUUCUGUCAGCCCAGUCCUGACUAUGUCUGUCCGUGAGUCCGACAUUUGAUCGCUGUUGAAGGAGCUCCAUGCUGAAGAAGAGAACACUUGUAGAGCUUGUAACAUUACUUGGAGAGCUUGUAAAGUACUGUAGAGCUUUGCAUUUGUAGAGCUUGUAAAGCAUUGUAUAUGUUAGAGCUUGUAUUACGUGUCAUUUGUAGAGCUUGUAAUGAAUCUGGCUAUUGUUAUUUGAAUAAUUAUGUGUGUUUUCUGCUUGCCUAUUUAAAUACUGGUUAUUUUCUUACUAUGACAUUCAAAUAUGAUGUCAAGUUGAAAUAUGAAGAAUCUGAGCCUAAUAGCUGGGACCCAUUUAUCAGAACCGGACAAGUGGGACCUGUUUGACUAAUGGACCCAUUUUAUAAAAAAAGAAAACUAAAACUACUGGUACAAAAAGGCCAUGGCCCAAAAAAUAAUAAGGCCAAAUUGUAGGGCUUGGCCUGUGUAGUUCACCAAAAUUAGCAGCGAAAAAAAAUAUAAAUGGGCUGAAUUGUUGGGCUUGGCCCAUGUAAAACACUGAAUCGGACCGGGCUAAUUCUUGUGCCACAUCAGCUUGCCAUGCUGGAUGCCUACGUGGUCUGGGGGUGUUGCUUGUGACCAAAAAUUUGGUCGUGGAACCAACGACCUUGUACACAUCGCAAAGAAGGUCGCUAUAGUCAGUUUACGACCGCCAGCUUUUGACCUUCUGUUUUUGGUCACAAAAAGGUCGCAAAUGAAAAACUAUGACCUUUCAGUGACCAAUAGUGGUGGUCACAAGUUGACAUAUUUCUUGUAGUGGUCAUCACCAACGAUCCUCUCAUCGGGAGGGGGUCAAUAUCCAUCAACAUCUUCACCAGCACCAUCUCCUCUCAAACCCUAGUUCAUCUCUUGUAUCUAAUCUUGUAUCCAAAACCACAAAUUGGUACCUGUGAGUUGCUAGUAGUGUUGAUUACUCCUUGUAGUUGAUACUUAUUGGUUUACUUGGUGGAAGAUCAUAUGUUCAGAUCCUUAAUGCAUAUUAUUACACCUAUGAUUAUGAACAUGAAUAUGCUUUGUGAGUAGUUACGUUUGUUCCUGAGGACAUGGGUGAAGUCUUGCUAUUAGUAGUCAUGUGAAUUUGGUAUUCGUUCGAUAUUUUGAUGAGAUGUAUGUUGUCUUCUCCUCUAGUGGUGUCAUAUGAACAUCGACUACAUGGCACUUCACCAUUAUUGGGCCUAGAGGAGGGCAUAGGGAAGUAAUAAGUAGAUGAUGGGUUGCUAGAGUGACAGAAGCUUAAACCCUAGUUUCUGCGUUGCUUCGUUAGGGGCUGAUUUGGAUCCACAUGUUUCAUGCUAUGGUUAGGUUUACCUUAAUACUUUUGUUGUAGUUGCGGAUGCUUGCAAUAGGGGUUAAUCAUAAGUGGGAUGCUUGUCCAAGUAAGGGCAGUACCCAAGCACCGGUCCACCCACAUAUCAAAUUAUCAAAGUACCAAACGCGAAUCAUAUGAACGUGAUGAAAACUGGCUUGACGAUAAUUCUCAAUGUGUCCUCGGGAGCUCCUUUCUCAUUAUUAGAAGUUGUCUAGGCUUAUCCUUUGCUACAUAAAGGAUUGGGCCACCUUGCUGCACUUUAUUCACUUUAUUUACUUGUUGCUCGUUACUAUUUAUCUUAUCAUAAAACUAUCUAUCACCUACAAUUUCAGUGCUUCAAGAAAACCUUACUGAAAACCGCUUAUCAUUUCCUUCUGCUCCUCGUUGGGUUCGACACUCUUACUUAUCGAAAGGACUACGAUAGAUCCCCUACACUUGUGGGUCAUCACGGACCAUGGUCGCCUGCGGGGUAGAGCAAAACGAUAUUCUAGAACCAAGAAAAAAAUUGGGAUGACUUUGCCUAAAAAUAGGACCAAAAAGAAUGCAUAGUGCCAAAUUCUCGCCGAAACAGAAAUGAAUCAACAUUCCGGCAAAAUAUUGGCAACUAUCACAUUUCAAAUACUGGUACCUGCAAACACAAACAUAUAUGCAACACCACAACCAUAUGCAACACCACAAACAUACAUAGAACUAGCUAGGCCAUAAAAAGUGCAUGUGCAUGUUGUUGGAGGGAGAAAAAAGUAGAUCUAUAACAUAAAGAAAGCUUUCCCCUUACCUACCUAUAAAAAAGGUAAUUUAACCACUUAAAUUGGAUGAAUCUAUGGUGCAAAUGAGGUGAGGAGGAGGAGGCAGCCGAGACAAGCUUGGAGGAGGAGGUGGAGAGAAUGAAGUGGGGAAAGUGAGUGUGGUAGGUGGUUGUCCAAAAUAUCUAGCUGGUCUCAGGUUACUAAUGGUGCACCACCUAUCAAUGCGCCAUUAGUAACCCUUGUUACUAAUGGCACACCAGUUAGGUGGUGCGCCAUUACUAGUUUUGCAAAAAAAAUGUUAGUAGUGGUGCACCGUGUGUGUGGUGCCCCAUUACUAGUUUGAACUAGUAAUGGUGCACUAUACACUAGUGCGCCAUUACUAGUUAUGACAAAAAAAGUAAAAAAAAUUGUUAGUAGUGGCGCGCGGGGUGAGUGGUGUGCCAUUACUAGUUAACACUAGUAAUGGCGCACUGUGCCCUGGUGCGCCAUUACUAGUUUUGGAAAAAAAAGUUUGUUAGUAGUGGCACACCGUGGGUGUGGUGCACCAUUAGUGUGAUGGACACUAAUGGCGCACUGACACAUGGUGCACCACUGCUAUAUAGUAGUGGCGCACCACAUGUGUGGUGCGCCAUUAAUGUCCAUAUUAUCUAUAGCCCUUUGCCUAGUAGUGAUGUAAUAUACAUGAGAUGCGUGUGCAUCCGGAUUUUGUAUACGUGGAAGGAGAAGAGACAACAUGUUUGAUGAGAGAGCUGGAAAAACAUGGAUGAGAGGGGAAGGAUAUCGUGGGUGGAGGGAUUGAUAAUGCGGGGGAGAGAGGGAUUGGUAAUUUUGUGAGAAAGAGAGAGGGUGGGGGGAGGAGUCAGUCAGCCGUCGUCACAUCACCCUUCUUCCAAAUGGCCCCGCAUUCUCUAGCGUGGUGUGGUCGCCGUCUUUGAUCUGCCUGAUGCCCUCUUUGAAGAUUGAUGUGUUGUGCAUGUUGGGGUGCAAAGAAGCACAAGUGAGAUUGGUCGCCGUAUAACCUUGGAUGGGGAUGAAUUGUGUGCUCGAGGGAGUGUGUGUGUGUGUGUGUGUGUGUGUGUGUGUGUGUUGUGCUAUGUGUGUCUCUGUGUGUGUGUGUGUCAGAUAUUGAGAGAAAACAAACCUAAGGAGAGAAAUGCGUAUUCACGAAGAGAUUGUGCGGGCGUUGAGGUGGGCAGGGGCCGGGUGAGGGUGUCAAAAUGUGCGUGUUGAUGCAUGUGUUGCAUGCGAGCGUGCGAUUGACGGAUGAAUCGAGAGAGAUGGUUGUUGUGUUACGGAUGCUCCUCUCUCUCUCUCUCUCAUGCACACACGCACACACAAGUAAACUAGAAGACCGUUCUCUCAUGUAUACACAACGUAUCAGCAUAUGUCUAUGUCUCACUCAUGCAAGAUCAUUUGCACAUUCACACCUCUCUAUGUCUGUAUCACACGCACACCGUCUCCACAUUGCCCUUCCGCCACAACACACAUAUGGACACAUACACACGUUCUCACUCAAUCACUCACACAAAAUCAGUAUUAAAAAAACUAGGCCGCACCUAAAACGUCCAAAUCCAAAUAAACACGAACUAGAGCUAAAUUCAAAUAUAUGGAAAUAUUGCAGCGUCAAGAACUUUUCUAGGAAAAAAAGUUGAGUAAUAUUCGGGGAUUUUUUUCACACACACAAAAAGGUUCGGUGGAUUACUUCGAGCGCGACAAGGUGACGCACCAUUUGAUCGACCGCUCGGCCGCGGUUCACACGCUUGCACAGGAUUCCGUAUCGUGGCUGUGGUACUAACUAAUAAAAGCGUUGCCUAAGUCUAAUGUUUACGUGUACUAGAACGGUUUUCUUUUAAGUUUGACCAACCUUAUAUAAAACUAAAGUAAGCCCCCACACGCGCACUCAUCAAUAUGUCGCCGCCGUCGUUGCACAUGCCGGCGCCCGCCUGCUCCGGCCAACAAUUUCUUGCCCAUCACCGUCGUGUCGCCGCCAUCCCUGUGCCAUGAAGCCGAAGGUUCGCCCGCUCACGUCGUCUGCAGUCCCUCCUCGCGAUGCCGCAGCGCUGCCAAGCAUGCAAGUAGCUGGUGGAGCUACGUCAAUGCACGCAGCAUACGAAGAGGAGGACGAGCGCGUGCUCCAGCACGCCGGCAAGGAGGAACUAGCAUGUCAUUGUCGUCUCCGCCCACGCGGAGGAGGCGCGCAUGGUGGCUGUCGCGGCGGAAGCUGGUCGCGUGCGCGUCGAGCCCGCAAACCGGGUGCAGACGCGGAAUCUACCUUCGAGACCUUGAAUGCCACAUGGAUCCUGCAAUCUAAAGGAGCAAUUUGAGUUAGUCGACUCUUGUGAGCCGUUUGAUGCAACAUGGAUGGCUAUAAGGGCUUCUUCGACCUCUUCUGUCAUCUUCUUCCUUCGCUCCGUCGAACUUCUUUCACAAAUCGACUGACCCAAACUAUACUACUAGUACGAACGUAUUAAGUACAGUUGGAACACGAAGAUAUGAGCAGUAGUACCAACUGCAAGAAGAACAGUAGUAAGACAUAGUACUAGUACUACUGUACAUACUAAAGAGUUCAGAUAAUGAGAAAGAACAUAAACAUAGUUCUGCUGGGGCCUCAGCAAAACACACCCUUGAAAAUAAACUAAGCAACUAGUCUGCUUGAAACUGCAGUAGAACCAGCAUGAGCGACGGCACUGCCACCUAUUCGGAGUCCGAGUCCACGUCCUCGACUUCGUCCUCGUCCCUUUUCCUCUUCCUCUUCUCUGACGCUUCUUUGCUUGAAGCGGACACUGGGCUCUGCUUCUUCAUCCAACCCUUGUAGAUAUUUAAGCAAAGGUAGGCAUCCAUUGCUGCGUACAGGAUGUGAUCUUCAUCUAAUGUCUUCGACUCCCAUGCAUGAUGAAACUCGUGAUGAGGUUUCUUCAGUUUAGCAUACGAAGGAUCAAUCAUGCCUGCUACCAGGGUCAGCAUUGAAGGUUGAGAGGAGGACACCAGGCUUGCCUUCUGGAGAUUGAAGGGAUGACCUACAAUGAGACCUAUCCGGCGCAGGACAUCCCUGUCGUUCUUAAAGUCUACAAUAACGAAUUUCACUCUUUUAUCCUUGAGGAAGUUCUUAAAAUCCUGGCACUCAACAUUCGCAUGGCAUAUGUGGUAAACCAAGCAAACGUUACAUACACAAACCUGGAUCACGGCGGGCUUCUUCCUCUCUUCGUCCAUUAGAUCCUUCUCUCGUCCCAGGACUGUGGUGUACUCAACAUCUAGCCCAGCGACCCACUCAUCCGUUGAACUGUUGAACAUGCGUAGGAAGCGAGCAAGCCAUGUUUUCACCGUCGCAAAACCACGUGUGUAGAUGAUGAUGAACUCAUCGCCGGUGAUGGCUCUAACCUGGUACUCAGCGGCGACCAUGGAGAUUUGGGAGGCCAUGGAUUUUGGAGGAGAGUUAGGAGAAGUUGAACUAUUGUACCCCGUAAAAAAAACUGGGAGCAAACUAAUGUGAAAGGAUGGGACGACUGGGAGCGAACUGUUGUAAGUUAGAGGACAGGGACAAGUAGGGCGUGCGAAUGGCGUGGGGUUGCUGGCAUGCCCGGUGGAUAAACAGCUGCAAGCCCCCAAAGAGUUCUCAAGAACUAUGCGGGACCGACUAGAUGUCAUGUCUACUAGACCCAUAUCGUAGGCUUGACGGUAUAGCUUCUGCCUGUUCGCAUGCCAUGUCGGAGCGUGGAUGUAACUUCACUAAAUUACGUCAACCGUCGCGCCUCCCACGACCUUCGCCUCCCUCGCGUGGUUGCACCCUUUGAGACUUCGACCGGCUAUAAAUGAGCAAUUGUUUUUUGCCUACUCCGCAUGCAUGAUACUCCCUCUGGUCCUUUUUAAUCCCGUCAUCUGUUUGCAAAGUGUUUGACCAAAUUUAUACUAAAAAUAUCAAUAUCUACAAUACUGAUUAUAAUGAGUAUAAGAACUACGUUUUAUAAUGAGUGUAAAAAUAUUGAUUUGACAUUGUGAAUGUUGAUACAUUUUUCUAUAAGUCUGGUGAAAGUAGAGGUACAUUGACUUCAGACAAAACUUAAAUGCACAAUGCAGACUAGUUCCUCCGUCCAGGUGCAUGCCAUGUCCUAUCUUGUCAUCACAACAAGGUUAGCUAUUAGAGUACUACUACCUACCUUCUAGUUUAAAGGGCUCGAUUCAAAAAUUUCAGCUACUCUUAGCAAGAUAGUAGAGGCGGUGGAAUAGUUUUUGAAGUCUGCAAAAGUAGUCAACUAAUGUUGUCAUUCUUCACAAAAGAAAAUGUGUUUACCAAUGCAUGCAUGAACACUAGUUACUCUAACCCCCCCUCUCUUCUUUAAUUCUUUGCCACAUCAGCAUGUUUGCUAUUCUCGUGUGCGUUAUACCAGCUAAGAUACCACCAUUAUGGCCAGCCUUAAUCAUCACAUGCAAUAAUUUAGUGCACCUUGAAAUAUGAACAUGUGUGGGGCAUGUAUGUUUUUAAUGACUUGAGACUAUACCUAGCCCGGCAUGCAAGAUGACUUAUUAUGCACCAUUCCCCAUACCUGCAGGAAGCCCGUUCGUCUCCAAAUCUUUUCCUCUCCAUGUGUGGAAACAAUAUGCCUGCCAAACUCUCCUUCUCCCUCCGGCGGUCUCACCACUCGACCCCGUGUGAAAAAAUCUGCAUGCAUGACUCUCCUCCCCCCACGCUCGUCCAAUCCGUUGUGACCAGCAAUAUUUCCACCCCUUCCCUCCCCCGUAAUUUACUCCAACAAAUAAGCCCACGUAGUUGUUACGUCAAUCACGCAACAUAUCUUCUAGGAUGCUGCUUUAGUUACUUAACUGCAGGUGCAUUGGGUCACUGACAUAUGGGCCCAACAAAACUCUGGCCCACAUGUCAGUGACACAACUGGACCUACAGUUAAGUCAGUGCAGUUCAGUCCAUAUCUUACGUAGGUGUGCCAUUGCUCGCUAUAAAUACUAUGCCUCCCACGGCAUUCAGAAGAACACUCACGUUCAUCGCUAUCUCCUCCCCCUCCCUCGCACGUCGACCACCAUGGCAUCGCCCCUCCCAAGCCCUAAGUGCCCCUCGCUGCACCGCCCGGACGGUCACAUGUCGUUGUUCCAUUCCUUGCCGCCACUAGUCGAGGAGGACACAUCGGCGUUCCACUCCUCGCCGCGACACGUCGAGGUGGACGCAUCGGUGUUCCCAAUCUCGCCAGCAUGCGCGUCGGCUCCCCGCCACGAGGAGAACGCCGUGCCGCCCGCCGAGCCCCCGCCUUGAGGAGCUUUGGAAAGAAAUGGAUGUCGCCGUGUGGGAGGCUUUGCCAUCGGCAGAGCACGCCAAAAUAGAGGCGGAGAAGAAGGCUGAGGAAGAGAAGCGCGCUGCAGGGCAAGCUGUCUGGCAGCUCUAUGUCGCGUUCGAGAGUGUCAGGCAAUUGGCUCUUUGGCAGAAGGCUCGUGCAAGGGCCGUGAGGGUGGCGGAGGACGCCCGUGCCAAAGCCCUGAGUGCAGUCGGGCCCAAGUGCCUCAUCUACGCUUGGCGGUAUGUGGACUGGGUGCAUGCUUCUAGCAAGGAGGAGUACCUGCUGGCGCCGGAUCACCAUACUGGUGAGAUCGCGCUCGCCCGCCGGCAAGCCGCCAAUCAGCACCUCGCGAGUUGCGAGGCUGAGGAAGAGGCGUUGUGUCGGCGCGCUGGGAAACGGCCGUGCACCAGGGCACUCAUGGCAUGCCGCAAGCGCUCCUGCGAGCGCCGUGGCUUUUAGUAGGGAGUAUAAUUUAGUUUCGUAAGGUGAUCUCAUUAGUUUUGGGACGCAAAUGAUAAAUCCCGAACGUUUGGGAAUUAUUAGCGUCCUUAAUUAAGUAUGUAAGAGGGAAAGUUUGGAAACCCUGUGUAUCCGUACGCAUUUAGUAAGAAGGUGCAUACAGCAUAAACUUUAGUACUAUAUACUAUCGCACUGCAGUCUCUCCCUAUGUAUGCUUGCAGACUGUGCUACUCCCUCCGUCCAGGUGAAUAAGUCAUCUUUGGUUGUGCACCGUGACCAAGUAGGAGGGAAUACUUUAUACACCUAGACGGAGGGAGUACUACUAUUACUUAUGUACGGGCAAAUGCACGUUUUAACAUUACGAUGCGGUUUUUGUAAAAGUAGAAAAAUGGCACUAGUCAAGCUUGUCAAACGAUUCAAUGCAAAACAAAUGGAAAAAUGCUCGUUUGAUUGUUUACUUUUAGCUUCCUUCUCUGUGGUUAUUUCACUGUCGUACUUUGUAUGGAGUAUCUCACUGUUCGGAAAGGCAUGCAAAUUCCCAAACCGCUUCCUACACCUUGUAUCGAAUUUUUUGCCUAACAAGUUGUGCCGUGCAAUUGGAAUUCCAACUUGAGUACUAGUACUACUAGUAGGAGUACCAGGGGCCAAUUCGUUUAGGCUUCUAGAUUAGUAGUACUCCCUCUGUCUAGGUGUGUAAGUCAUUUUACGGAAACCAAAUAAUUCCAAAAUACUUAGGCGUGGUGCAUUAACUUCUACCUCGUUUCUUGUUUCUUGACAUAUAAACCAAUAAAGAGAUGAAGGGUGUGCAUGCUUUUAAUUACUUGGGAGUACCAAACACGACAUGAAGUGGUUAGUUCAUUGCAUGCAAUGCUAUUAAUUAGCAAACAAACAUUAAGGUCUCUCGUUUUCCACUCCUCCUUGGUCACGGUGCACAACCUAAGAUGACUUACUCACAUGCACUAACAUUUCAUCAGUUAAAUCUUUGGUCAAAAUUUACCACAAAUUACAAUGGUGAUGAAUAAACCAGGACGGAGGUACUCCCUCCAUUUUUUUAUACAAGGCCACUAUAAAAAAUACAUUUUGCAUCUAUACAGGGCCACCAAUAGUAAUCGAGACAAAUAUUAAUGAUGUUUCCUCGUACUAGUAACCCAUGGGUUAAUUACUAGCAUGCAUGUAGUGGAUGAUAAUGACAAACUCAUCUAGUACUUCCUCUCUCACGGCCACUCAAUUUCUUCUAAUAUGCAUGCACCCUAUUAAUUAACCCGGUAAACGAGAAAAAAAUUGACUUGUAAAGCACACAUUGAUUUUUUAUCUUGGUACCUGUAAUUUGAGUUUGUGACCUUGCAUAUAAAAAUGAAGGGAGUACUAGUAGUACUAGUAGUUUAGAAGCCCAAAUAAAUGAGUGAGGCGUCUUAAUGUUACUCUCCACUGUGACUAGUCUUAUGGGAAAAGCUGGGGAAGAGACGGCUUAUUUUUUAAGCCGCAAAAAGAACUGGCCCUAGGAGUAGUAGCUAGGGAUACUAGGAGUAGUAGCCAGGGAUCGAGUGUGCGAGAUGAACCGGAGAAAGUAAAUGCAGAGAGAUGAAAUGCAAAAAGGACAGGGUGAUGUGAUGGUUGCUUGUCCGUUUAUAUUACCAGGCCACUUAUUACUGGCAGUGGUUGGGUUUUGUGAUAUGAUGGCUUUACUGCCGCGCCACAAGCGGGGUGAGACUCCCGUGCAACGCUGCCCUCUACAAUUGUACUACAUCGGUCGUGGUUUAUUAGUCCCCCAUUGAAUUUGACUGAAGAUUUAACUGACAAAAUGUUAGUGCAUGUCAACAAAAACUAUAUCGUUGGAUUCGUAUUUGAACAUAGUUUUGAAUGAUAUAAUCUUAGGUGACAUGCAUCAGCAUUUAUCGUACUAUAUAUAAUGUUAGUUCAAUUUUUGGUCGUACUAAUCUAUAGUAGUAAGGUGCCCAUGCGUUGCACCGAAGAGUGAAAUGCAUUGAUCGGGGAGUUGUUUAUUGACAAAGGAUGUGGGGGUCAUCUCAUGUGUAACGGGUAACGAUAGGUUUCUUCGGAUAUUAUUUCAUCUCUAGAGCUCACAAACAUCCGGGUGAAAUAGAUAAAAGGGUAUCUUUUGCAAACAAAAGCGUUCAACUGUUCAACCUGCAUCCAAAACUUGUGAAGAAAUAACUGUCGGUGUCAAAACCGGCGGAUCUCGGGUAGGGGGUCCCGAACUGUGCGUCUAGGCGGAUGGUAACGGGAGACAAGGGACACGAUGUUUUACCCAGGUUCGGGCCCUCUUGAUGGAGGUAAAACCCUACGUCCUGCUCGAUUAAUAUUGAUGAUGUGUGUUACAAGAGUGGAUCUACCACGAGAUCAAGGAGGCUAAACCCUAGAAGCUAGCCUAUGGUAUGAUUGUUGUUCGUCCUAUGGACUAAAGCCAUCCAGUUUAUAUAGACACCGGAGAGGGCUAGGGUUACACAGAGUCGGUUACAAUGGUAGGAGAUCUACAUAUCCGUAUCACCGCGCUUGCCUUCCAUGCCAAGGAAAGUCCCAUCCGGACACGGGACGAAGUCUUCAAUCUUCUAUCUUCAUAGUCUUGGAGUCCGGCCGAUGAUGAUAGUUCGGCUAUUCAGACACCCCCUAGUCCGGAACUCCCUCAGUAGCCCCGAACCAGGCUUCAGCGACAAUGAGUCCGGCGUGUAUAUUGUCUUCGGUGUUGCAAGGCGGGUUCUCCUUCAAACUUCAUGUUCCUGUCGAAUAGUGUUCGGCUUCCUUAUAAAUUUUGCGCUCCUUGGCUUCUACGCCCAAUAAUGGCCUUCUUCCACGUGUCAUAUGAAUGCAAAAAGCUAGGGUAUUUUUACAUUUUACCCCCUAGCCGUGCGAACGAGCCGCCUAUAAGAGAGGCGAGGAUCUAGAUCCAGCUCACACCAUCCUCUUCCGCAAGUUCUCAUCGAAGCGCCUCUGACAAAAAUCCAUUCUAUCAUGGAUAGUUGACGCGGCUCCUCCUCUCGCGCUCCCAGUCCUAAGCCAGGAGAUUGGGGGAGAUGCUCAGUUCCACACAGCGAGCUAGUGGCGCUCCAAACCGAGGGAUAUCUUCCCCUAGCUUUCAUGGUUCCGGUUCGAGCCAGACUGGCCACCUUCAGGGGUGGAAAGCAGGCGGAGAGCGUCCCCAACCCUUCCAAAGGAGAGCGGGUAUGCUUCGUCCCUUAUCUAAUAAGGGGACUCAGAUUUCCCAUACAUCCGUUUCUCCGGGGCUCCUGGAGUUCUACGGACUCCAACUUCACCACCUCACACCUGCCUCCAUUUUGCACAUCGCGGGCUUUGUAGCUCUUUGCGAGCUGUUCUUGGGCAUCGAGCCCCAUUUUGUGCUGUGGAAGAGAUUGUUUUGCCUCGUACCCCGUUCUCAUGAGGGGUCGAUAUAUCAAGUGGGCGGAGCCGAAAUAUGGCGCAUCGCCGGGACCGGAUAUCUAUCCGGCACCCCGAAGAAGGCGUCCGAAGACUGGCCUUCGAAAUGGUUCUACAUGGAGGACGCUCCUCUGCCGGAUCCAGUUCGGAUCGGCCUCCUGCAGUUCAGCAAUGCUCCCUUGAAGAAACGCCUGAGUUGGCGCCCGCGGAGCCCUCAACGAGAGGAUGAUGGGAGCGUCCAUUAUCCGAUGGGCCGGAUUAGGUUACUAGCCCACUCCGGAUUGACCAUGAUUGGAAUUAUGGCCACGUGCAUUAUGCGAGGGGUGCAGCCACUCCAAUAUAGGGGCCACCCUAUUUGGGAUUUCAAUGGGGAAGACGACGCCACCCGUCAUGGCCGCAGAGGGCCGGGCUCGACAGGCGAUCUGGCAAAGAUCCUGUCCGGCUUGUACAAGGGGGAGGAGGAGGACUUCCUCCGCACGAAUCCAUUGAAUGGAUUCUCCAUGAAUAACCCUCGGAGCUGGGUAAGCGGAUGUUUAUCUACCCGAUCCAUACUUCCAAAGUCAAGUAUCUUACUUUGUGAUGUUGACACAGGAGUUGCGCCAGGACGUGGAGGGCAUACAAAGCCUAACUCCACAGCCCGAGGAUCCGGAACGAUCCCUUGAUCCGGCCUCCGAAGAGGAUCCGGACAUAAAGGUGGAGCUGAUUGACAGGGUGUUCCACCAACUUAGCAUGGACAAUGCCCUAGUCGCCAUUACGGCUGACUACCCCGGUUUGUUUCCGACCUCCCAGAUGACUACGACCGAGGUCUUGACACCAUCAUUUGAUCCAUGCUCAAUUCUGACCAUCCUAUACUGAUGGUGCAUUGCAGGAGGUGCCUUUAAGGCGGGAAGCCGAACCUGCGGCGGCUGACCAGCAAGGGUCAGUUCGGCCCAGCAGGCGGAAGAGGAGUGCGACGCAAAUCGAAACGUUGCCGCAACGGUACGGCGCACCGUUGUUUUUAAGGGAAGGAUCCCUAGGAGGUAUAUUAAUGCUCAUAACUUUUCCAGGAGAAAGAGCACUUGCCGGACAGUGUCCGGAGAGGUUGCCAAUCAAGCCUCCGCCAGCCAUGCUCCAUCGCGUGGUCCGGAAGGGGAGGCGAACACAAGGCAUGAGACGGAUGUUCCUCCGACGGAGGAUGCCGACAGGCUGUCGGCCACCCGGUCUGAGGUGGAGAGCGCCAUGAAUCACAGGCGUCGCCGGACAGUUCUUCGUGACGCGUGUUUCUCCCCGGGGGCGCUGGAUGCCUUUGAAGCGGGAGACGCGCACCUCCGUGCCGCUCAAGAUGGUUUAACCAGAGCCACGGAGCAGUAUGUGAAGGACAUACGGGUAAUUAAUUUUAAUAGUUAUAUAUGCCAGUAGCCCCCGAGACUUAAAAUAGUUAAAAUAACUGAUUUAAGGAUCAUUUAUUAUGCAGGAUCUUAUGGAGAAGAAUACCCACCUGUCCCAGGAGCUUCAAGGGUGCAAGGCCCAACUUGAGGCCGCACUGGCCGCCACAGGGGGAGCCACAGAGACCCCCGCUGGUAAUACGUUCUUCGAAAAGAUAAGUAGUUAACAAAGUGCGGCGUGUGCGUAAAUAUGACAAUAAUAUUGCAGAGGGCGCCGGACUAGAUCCGGACAAGCAACAGCUACUGCGUCAGCUAAAGGCCGGCGAGAGGGUGCUUAUGAAGGUGCAGCAGGAGAGGAACAAGCUCCAGGAUGCCCACACCCAGCUAGGAGAAGAGCUGAAAGGUGUUCGGGCCCAGCUGUCUGGCUCCGUGAAGGAGAAUCAGCGGCUUCGUCGCGGCAUUUAUAGUAAGUGCUUGAGCAAAUUCCUAUGAAAAGAAGAAUUCGGCGAGGAAGUCGAUUAACAGAAAUGUGUCUUUUAGGUGUGCUCACAGGUUGCCCUGCGGAGGAAAUGCCCGGUUCAACGGGUGACCAACUUCCCGAGCUGGUGUAACUACUCGAACGUGUUCGGCAGGCGAUGAGUGGUGUCGUUCAGGCCUUAUGGCCUUCCGUCUCCCUACCUGAGGGCCUUGGAGGGCUUGCUGAGAAGCUUCAGGGAGUACGGCGACGCCUCCGUCUGUGGAAGAUAUCAGCCUGCCAUCAAGGCGCCAGGGAGGCCUGGGCCAUGGUGAAGACGCGGUACCCGAAGGCUGACCCAAACCACAUGGCCGAGGUCGGACCUGUGGGGCCUGAUGGGAAGGAGAUCCCUGUGAGCUUGAUGUACGGCCAAGUAGAGCUGGCCGCGAAAUAUUCCCAACAGGACUGUAAAUUAGACAGCCUGUUAGAUGGGAUUGAAGAGGAGUACAAUCAGUCAGUUUGAUGAUGUAAUUUUGAAAUGACAUAUAGAAUGCCUUCUAGCCGGAUUGUAGAUCGUUUGUCUUUGCGGACCUUUUCGCUUCAACCUCGGGACCCAAUAGUCUGGAGUGUGUCCGAAUACCCUUACGGUUAUAAAAGAACCGGGGCAUGCAUGGAGACAAGGCGUCGGGGUCAUAAUUGCUUUAUCAGACAAGUGCCCAACUAGCUAUGUUAUAUUACAUGGUUAGUAAGAAAUAUCUUCCAGGGAGAAUAGUUCCGUUAAGGGUUCCUUUCCCUGGGAGGCAUGCCCUAAAGUGCAUGUCUGGACUGUGAAAAUAGCAGAAAAAGCAUCUGGGGGCAGAUAAAUAAGUAAGUAAUAAAUCAUUUUUCCAGUCACCGACUGAAUUUUCUCUUAAGAACGCUAGCUUUCGGCUUCACCCAGUCUGAGGUACACAUCCGACUGACCCGACAGUAACAAUCGCAGAGGUGCUCCCUUUACCUCCUAGCCGAACAAUCGGGAACGUAGGGGUAAGCACAGGAGCCAGGCAACCCAGCUUGGCCAAAACUUAAGUCAUAUCAAUGCAUAUAAUGGUGAAUAAAAGGUACAUGCGGAAGUAUGACACAUGUGUUGGGCAUGAAGCCCGUAUAAAUAAGCUUCUGUUAAAGAAGCCCCCAGGUAUAAUGAGUGCUAGGAGCACAUCAAGUGUGUGUGAACCAUGCGCAAAUCAGCCUAUCAAAGGUAUUGAAAAAAAAGUGGGAAGAAGGAGGGGGACAAGAGACAGUGAAAAUGUAAAAAGGUGGACGGACGAGUGAGACGAACUCUGAGUUCGGCGUUAGGCGUAGAAUCUUCGGAAACGGGCUGCGUUCCAUGGGUUCGGCUCGAGUCGGUUGUCAGAUGCGUUGCGUAGACGGUAUGCUCCGCCGGUCAGGACUUGGUCGAUGAUGAAGGGACCUUCCCACUUGGGCUUAAGUUUGUCCUUUUUCUUGUCCGGUAGGCGUAGAACAAGUUCGCCAAUGUUGUAAGUUUUUGGCCCGUACUUCUCUGCUUUGAUAUCUUCGAGCCUGCUGCUGAUAAAAUGCGGAACGAGCUUUUGCCAUGUCCCGCUCCUCCUCUAAGGCGUCCAAACUGUCCUGCCGAUCCAACUCGGCUUCUCUUUCUUCAUACAUGCGCACGCGAGGUGAGUCAUGAAUUAUAUCGCAGGGCAGAACUGCCUCUGCGCCGUACACCAUGAAAAAUGGUGUGAAUCCGGUAGUUCGGUUUGGCGUGGUCCGCAGCCCCCAGAGUACGAAGUCGAGCUCCUCUACCCAGUGCGUGUUAGAUUCCUUGAGGGACCGCACUAGUCUGGGUUUGAUGCCACUCAUUAUUAGACCAUUUGCUCGCUCGACUUGACCAUUAGUUUGGGGGUGAUAGACUGAAGCGUAGUCAAGCUUGAUGCCCAUGUUUUUGCACCAGAGUUUAACCUCGUCGGCUGUGAAAUUCGUGUCGUUAUCAGUGAUGAUGCUGUGGGGGACGCCAAAACGGUGUACUACCCCGGAUAUGAAGUCUAUCACAGGUCCGGAUUCUGCCGUUUUAACCGGCUUGGCCUCAAUCCAUUUGGUGAAUUUGUCCACCAUGACCAAUAAGUAUUUGUGCUUGUGGGUUCCCCCUUCAAGGGGUCCAACCAUGUCAAGCCCCCAGACCGCGAACGGCCAGGUGAUGGGUAUAGUUUUGAGGGCGGUGGGUGGCAUGUGGCUCUGAUUAGCAAAGAGCUGGCAACCAACGCAUCGUUGGACUAAGUCCUGAGCAUCUGCCCGGGCUGUCGGCCAAUAAAAUCAUGUACGGAAGGCCUUGCCUACAAGGGCCUGGGCUACAGUGUGGUGCUCGCCGAGUCCGGCGUGAAUUUCAGCCAGGAGAUUUCGCCCUUCCUCUUCAGAGAUACACCUUUGAAGGACUCCGGUUGUGCUUUUUUUAUAAAGUUCUCCCUCAUGGACCUUGUAGGCUUUAGAUCGCCGAACUAUGCAGCGGGCCUCAUUUUGGUCUUCGGGAAGUUCCUGCCUGAUUAAGUAGGCUAGGAAUGGUUCCGUCCACAGGGCAAUUACUGCCAUUAUUUCGUGGGCUGAAGGUGUUAUUUCAUUGUCUGAGCCGCCGAUUGUGUCAGAGUGGUCUGAGUUAGGUGAGGCAGCUGGCUCCGGAUUGUUAUUUCCGGACUCCUCUUCCCAUAAUAUGAAUGGCUUAAAGAGCCGUUUUGCGCCGAUGCGUGCCAACACGUCUGUUGCCUGGUUAUUAUCCCGGGCUACAUGGUGGAAUUCGAGUCCUUCGAACCGAGCUGACAUUUUUAGGACGGUGUUGCGGUAAGCUUCCAUUUUCGGAUCUUUGGCGUCAAAGUCUCCAUUUACUUGGGAUAUUGCAAGGUUUGAAUCCCCGCGCACCUCUAGGCAUUGAAUGCCCAUGGAGAUUGCCAUCCGGAGGCCGUGUAGAAGGGCCUCGUAUUCGGCUGCGUUGUUGGAGUCCAUGUACAUUAUUUGAAGUACGUAUUGGACUGUGUCUCCAGUUGGGGACGUCAAGACGACGCUAGCCCCCAAGCCAGCCAACAUUUUGGAUCCAUCGAAAUGCAUGAUCCAAUUGGAGUACGCGCCGUACUCUUUAGGGAGUUCGGCUUCGGUCCAUUCAGCGACGAAGCCAGCCAGAACUUGCAACUUUAUAGCUCGCCAUGGUUUGUAGGUUAUGUCAAAUGGUAAGAGCUCAAUGGCCCAUUUUGCAAUCCUGCCCGUUGCGUCACGAUUGUUUAUAAUAUCGUUGAGAGGUACUUCGGAGGCCACCGUUAUGGAACACUCUUGAAAGUAGUGUCGCAGCUUCCGGGAUGCAAUGAACACCGCAUACGCUAUCUUUUGAUAAUGUGGGUACCGGGACUUGCAUGGAGUUAAGACAGUGGAUACGUAGUACACUGGCUUUUGAAGAGGGAAUCUGUGCCCUUCUGUUUCUCGUUCGAUGACGAGUACCGCGCUGACAACUUGAUGUGUUCCUGCUAUAUAUAAUAACAUAGGUUCGCCAGGUUGGGCGCGGCCAGGACCGGAAUUGUUGCCAGUAUGGCCUUUAUUUCUUCGAGUCCGACCGUGGCAGCAUCCGUCCAUUCGAAGUGUUCGGUGCGCCGGAGGAGGCGAUAGAGGGGCAGAGCCUUUUCUCCCAAAUGGGAGAUGAAGCGACUUAGAGCCGCUACGCAUCCAGUUAGUUUUGUAUUUGCUUGAGGUCUUUUGGAAUAUCCAAUUGUGACAGAGCUCGGAUCUUGGCUGGGUUUGCUUCAAUUCCUCUACCGGAUACAAUGAAGCCCAAGAGCUUUCCGGCUGGUACUCCGAAGACACAUUUUUCCAGGUUGAGCUUAAUGUCGUAUGCUCGGAGGUUGUCAAAUGUCAUCCUCAAGUCGUCUACUAGAAUUUCGACGUGUUUGGUCUUGACGACCACAUCGUCUAUGUAUGCCUCCACUGUUUUGCCUAUCUGGGUAGCCAGACAUGUCUGAAUCAUGCGCUGAUAUGUUGCGCCGGCGUUUUUGAGUCCGAAGGGCAUUGUGUUGAAGCAGAAUGGCCCAUAUGGAGUAAUGAAUGCCGUUGCGGCCUGGUCUUCUUCCGCCAUCUUGAUUUGAUGGUAUCCGGAGUAUGCAUUGAGGAAGCACAAUGAAUCGUGCCCUGCGGUAGCAUCGAUGAUUUGGUCGAUGCGAGGGAGAGGGAAAGGGUCCUUUGGACAGGCCUUGUUAAGGUCUUUAAAAUCGACACAGAGGCGCCAGGAUUUGUCCUUUUUUGGUACCAUUACUAGGUUGGCUAGCCAGUCUGGAUGUUUUAAAUCUGUGAUGAAUCCGGCUUCUAAGAGUUUGGCUAGCUCCUCUCCCAUUGCCUGUCUUUUGGGUUCGGAAAAUCGCCGAAGAGCUUGUUUGACUGGCUUGAAUCCUUUUAGGAUAUUUAGGUUGUGCUCUGCCAGCCUGCGUGGGAUUCCUGGCAUGUCUGAAGGGUGCCAGGCAAAAAUGUCCCAAUUUUCCUGGAGGAAUUCUUGUAGUACGGCUUCUACAUCAGGAUUUAAUUGUGCCCCAAUGGAGGCCGUCUUUGUGGGGUCCGUUGGAUGGACCUGAGAUUUGACUAUUUUGUCUGCUGGUUUAAAAGAGGUGGACUUGGACCUCUUAUCGAGUAUCACAUCGUCCCUAUCCACCAUGGAGCGCAGCGCAGUUAGUUCCUCUGCCGCUAGGGCUUCGGAUAAUGCCUCUAGGGCCAGUGCGGCUGUCUUAUUUUCAGCGCAGAGUGCUGUAUAUGGAUCACUGGCGAGAGUGAUUAUUCCAUUGGGUCCUGGCAUUUUGAGCUUCAUAUACCCGUAAUGGGGUAUAGCUUGGAAGAUUGUGAAUGCCUCUCGCCCGAACAAAGCGUGGUAUCCGCUGCCGAAUGGGGCCACUUGGAACGUGACCUCUUCGGACCUGUAAUUGUCCGGCGAGCCGAACACUACAUCUAGUGUGAUUUUUCCUGUGCAGCGUACUUCUCGACUAGGGAUUAUUCCCCUGAAGGUUGUGCUGCUUCGCUCAAUGCGGCUCCAGUCAAUUUCCAUUUUUUGAAGGGUUUCCUCGUAGAUGAGGUUUAAUCCGCUGCCGCCAUCCAUGAGUACCUUGGUAAGACAAAAGCCGUCCACUAUCGGGCUGAGGACCAAUGCGGCUGGUGCUCUAGCUGUUCGGAAUUUAGGUUCGUCGCUGGCAUUGAAGGUCAUAGCCGUGUCGCUCCAUGGAUUUGUUGUUGCUACUUGGUAGACUUCGGCGAGGCUGCGGAUUGUUCGUUUCUGCAUGUUAUUUGAUGCGAAACUCUCGAAGACUGUUAAUACCGUACUGGUACUGCUGGGCUGGUUGCCCGAGGCUAAAAAGCCUUCGCCACUUUUGGCCACCUGCCGUAGUAUCCAACAUGCUCGAAGGCUAUGUGUUGGAGUGGCGCUCUCCGUGCUGUGGAUUUUGCAGGGUCCGUUGAGCCAUCCCUCCAGUACGGUUCCAUACCCUUUAGGGGGUUUUUGGUUUUUGGUUUUUAACCCAGGUGCUUGAGUAUGACACACCCUUUUAUUUUGGACUGGGGUUGUAUUCAGGGCCGGAUUGUCCCAAAACCUAGUUUCGGUUUUCCAGGCACUCUUCAUCGCGCAGUAUUUUUGUACAAUGGUCGCUAGGUCGGCAAAGCGUGUAACUUCGCAACGACUGAUGGCGUUUAUGAUUCCCUUGUCCAUGCAAUUGUUGCAGAAAAUUGAAAUCGCGCUUUCUUCACGACAGUCCUUUAUCCUGUUCAUAACCAGGAGGAAUCUGGCCCAGUAAUGAUGUACUGUUUCAUCAGGCUCUUGCCGUAUUUGAGAUAGAUCGCUUAUGUUUGGGUGGGCGGGUGGAAUUAAGUUCGGAACCCCGCCCGAUCUGAGGCUCAAAGGCCAAGAAGCUUCCGGAUUCGGAAGCUUGGUUUGCUGGAUGCUUUCCAACAAAUCUGGUCCGAUGCCUGACUUUAGGUUCAGUAUUUGAUUAGCUUCUGUCCCUCCGCGGGAAUCCGGCAUGGAGGGAUCGGGAAUCCAGACAUAGUUGGUUUUUAUCAUAGAAGAAGAGUCGCCGCAUUGUUCCUCUAACACAACAACGUGGUGGGUAACCUGGGGAGAGUUAAUUUCUCUCAGAUCAGUUUUAAGCCCAAUCUGAUCGUAGUCGGUAGCGACUCCCAGGGCGGCGAUGCAAUCCAAGAGAUCAUUUAUGGAGGAGAGCUCAAUCGGAUCUAGCUGCUCGGCGAAUUCCGAGCUGACGUGAAGAUCGCUUUUAAUGACCCGAGAGGUCAUUGUCGGAGCGGUGGCCGAACAGGCGGUCAUAAGAAAACCGCCUAGCCGGAUAGUCUGGCCGGCGGCCAAAGCUCCCUUGACGACGGUGCCGUCUUUAAAGAAGGGAAAAGGCAUCCUUCCUGAUGGUGACGGCACAGAGGAACUCUCAAUGAAAGCACCACUGUCGGUGUCAAAACCGGCGGAUCUCGGGUAGGGGGUCCCGAACUGUGCGUCUAGGCGGAUGGUAACAGGAGACAAGGGACACGAUGUUUUACCCAGGUUCGGGCCCUCUUGAUGGAGGUAAAACCCUAUGUCCUGCUCGAUUAAUAUUGAUGAUGUGUGUUACAAGAGUGGAUCUACCACGAGAUCAAGGAGGCUAAACCCUAGAAGCUAGCCUAUGGUAUGAUUGUUGUUCGUCCUAUGGACUAAAGCCAUCCGGUUUAUAUAGACACCGGAGAGGGCUAGGGUUACACAGAGUCGGUUACAAUGGUAGGAGAUCUACAUAUCCGUAUCGCCAAGCUUGCCUUCCACGCCAAGGAAAGUCCCAUCCGGACACGGGACGAAGUCUUCAAUCUUCUCUCUUCAUAGUCUUGGAGUCCGGCCGAUGAUGAUAGUUCAGCUAUCCGGACACCCCCUAGUCCGGAACUCCCUCAAUAACGCUUAUUGUGCUUUGCAAGAAAUGAUCUUUGAGAAUUAGUUUUUGAGUAUCGAUUGUUAUACAUGUUGGCUACAGAUGACAUGGCAAUUUCUUAUAAUCAAUAGUUGGCUAUACUAUUAAGUAACAUUAACCAUGCCCUUAUACACCUAGACGGAGGGAUUAAAUCAGGAUGGCUUGGAGGGGGUAGAGGAGAUGUAAGAAAUGGUUCAUAGUAAGUCUUUCACCAGUACUGUAGUAAAAGUUCAUACAUGGAAGAUUCAAGACUAAACCAUAAACGGAUACACUUUUAUUCAUGCGCGAUACUCCAAUAGAGCAAGAUCAUGCAUGGAAGUUUCCACAUGCUUAAAUAGUGGUUUACGUUGAGCGAAGACUAUUGAUCAACAUUUAACUUGAUAAUGCGUAUGUCUAGGUGAAUCUCCUUGGAGUCACCGUGCACCGUGUCGGCGGGUAAAAGAUGCCAUGGGUUUUCCAAGUCCACAUCGGCGGGAAAGUCCCAGCUCCGCAGAGUCCAAGUCCGUUCGAUGAGGUCGGUGUCGCCGCCCACAUGACCCGGAGGGGUAGUAACACUGACCACGCACCCGUACAUCGGCCUCGUGUCAGUGUCAGUGUCAGCGGCAUCGCCCCUGAUGCACACUAUAGAGACGGGGUGCCGGUCUGCGUGGGCCUCGCCGGUGCCCACGAUCAAGAGGAAUACGAUGCCGUCCUCCUCCGAGACUAGUAGGCAGCGGUGAUCUUCCAGCGACUCCAGCAUGGUGAACGGGUAGCACGUCUCAUACUUGAUGUUCUCCACCAAGGGCCAGUAGUGACCGCUGCUAGCAUCCGUGAGGUGAUGCACCAUGUCCGCCGGCAAGCCCCAAAAUGGCAUCGGGCACUCAUAGCAGUAGACGAAGGGCUCCUUGGAGGCAUCGACCACGCCGUCCAUGAAACGGGAGUGGCUGUAGGGGAUGUUGGGCCAGUUGAAUAUAUGAGCAAGUUACUACGAGAUUUAAUCCGAAUAAGCACAAAAUAAAUCAUGACGGCUAUAACAGAGAUGAAACUAAUCAUGUGGACUAGCAUAGUAGUAGGAUACAGAGUAGAAACAUGAAUUCUACCAUGAUUUCGAACAAGAAGGACAGAAACACAUACGGUGCAACGGGACCAGCACCGUUGGCGUUGAGGUUGUCGCCCAUGUCAUUGAGGAAGAGGUUGCCGAGGUCGGGGAAGAAUUCGUCGUCGAUGAAGUCGUGGCUGCCAGCAGUCGCGAGAGUGCGCUCCUGUCAGGACCCCGAUCCUAUGCCACACCGAUCUAGCAUGUAACACCUCAUAUCACUUUGCGGCCUCACGCACGGUAUUCCCACGGGUGUCGCCUUACCAGGCCCGGGACCGUUUGCGCCUUUUGGCUCACGUAUAUGAUAGUGUCGCUAGCAUCCAUAUGACAAAGAACCUGGGCUGACAUGGCUAGCCGUGAACUCAAAGUGGCACUAACUUAUAGGGACAGGCAUACAUGACCCAGCAACGAACGUGUCGGUCAUCAGCGAGUGAAUCCGGGUUGUAGCACUGGGCUAGCAGGACUCCGAUGAAGCGGGCUGUAGCGGGCUAACAGGACUCCGGUAUUCAUCGCGUGACAUUUCCCCGAAGGGACAGACACAGGAACGAAGAAGGACACACGCCGGCCAGCUUAAGUGUUCCGGAGCAGUAGCAAGCUACCAUGGCUCAGUGGAAGCACUAGGAGACAUUUCCCAGUAAGAGAGGCUACUAAGGAUAAACAACUAGAUAGUCAGAUCCCACACAUACCAAGCAUUUCAAUAACAUACACACAAUAUGCUUGAUAUGUGCAAAUACAACAUGGCAUCACAACAUGACUCUACAACUCAAGUAUUUAUUCAAUAGGCUCCGAGGAGCGAGAUAUUACAAACAUGGGUCUCUCGACCCAGCAUUCAGAGCAUACAAGUCAAAGCACAAACGGAGGCUUAACAUGUCUGAGUACAGACAUCUACAAAUGAAAAAGGCUGAGAAGCCUGACUAACUACCAGAUCCUGCCGAGGGCACAAGAUCGUAGCUGAGGUAACAAGCUAAACGUCGAAGUCCACGCGGAACUACUAGUGAGACUGAAGUCUCUCUGCAAAAACAUAAAAUAGGCAAACGUGAGUACAAAUGUACCCAGCAAGACUUACAUCAGAACUAACUACAUAUGCAUCAUUAUCAACAAGGGGAUGGUGGGGUUUAACUGCAGCAAGCCAGCUUUGACUCGGUGGCUAUCCUGAACUAUGACUGCAAGUAACUCUUUUGAGGUGGCGCACACGAGUCCACAUAUUCACCAUAUCAAUACACCACUAUGGAUCCGCUCCCGUCUCCCUACGAGAACGCCAUCCAUAGCACUCACACUUAUCUUGCGUAUUUUAGAGUAUCCACUUUCACUUGUCUAUGAACUGUACAGGCAACCCAGAAGUCCUUUUCCGUGGACAUGGCUAUUCGAAUAGAUGAUGUUAACCCUGCAGGGGUGUACUUCUUCACACACGCUCUCACGACUUACCGCCGUUUACAUGACAUGUACUUGGCAACCUUCAAGCGGAAGCCCAGCGAGGGUGUCGGCCACGGCCUACCUAAACACUCAAGUCUCUAGUCCAGGUUUAUCGCCUAUUCGGGUUCCAUCCGCGAGGAGAUCCGGCCGGGGUUUCGCUCACAGCCCCAAACGAUGUGUGCAGGGUUCCCGAGACACCAAACGGGCGCCCGGUACACCGUGCCACGGUGUAUCUACCGCAUCAUAGCCCACCCCUAGGGUCAGUGCUACGCACGGCCUCCAACACAUAUCCUACAAACACCAGAAACUAGUUGCAACUCCUGGACAGAGAACAAGGGUGAUUAAGAAGCCGAGAGGGUCCAUUGGUUUCGGGCCCAAUGCGUGGUAGUAGCUGUUUCAUGGAUCACAAACACAGAACUCAGUUCCUGAGGACGGCUUCAAUGAGACAACCCACCAUGUACUCCUACAUGGCCUCUCACCGCUACCUUUACCAAAUCGUGUUCACACACUUAGCUCACACACAGUAGGACAUGUUCACACACCUCUAAUUCAUCCCCGAUGAAUCAGACCUAACUCAACUCUAAGCAGUAGCAGGCAUGACAAACAAGCAUGAAUAAGUAGGCACAACAGGGCUCAAACAACUCCUACUCAUGCUAGUGGGUUUCAUCUAUUUACUGUGGCAAUGACAGGUCGUGCAGAGGAUAAAGGGGUUCAACUACCGUAGCAAGUAACAGAUGAAUCGUUGUUGUCCUAAUGCAGUAAAAGAGAGCAGGAGCGAGAGAGUGGGAUUGUUUUGGAAUGAACAAGGGGGUUUUGCUUGCCUGGCACUUCUGAAGAUAGCAUUGAGUCUUCAUCAGUGUCAACGAUCACAACGUCGGAACAUCGUCUACCGAGAGGGGACAAGCACCGACAAACAAAGGAGAAGCACAAUCAAUGCAAUGCACAAUAUGAUGCAUGAUCAUGACAUAGCAAUAUGAGUGUGUUGGCCUAAUGCAACUAAUAGCGAUUUAAAUGAAGUUGGUUUGAAUACUGGAUUCAAAUUCAAACUCCAUAUGUGAUUAUUCAAAUGGCAUUUAAUGAUUUGGCCUAAACAGGAGCCAUAAGUUGUUCUAACAUGCAUGAAAAUGGUACAGAUGGAUAGAUUGGAUUUUUCUGAUCAUUUUUCAUAUAUAAAUUAUUUCAUUUGGAGUUACGGUUGAUUUUCUAUGAUUUUUUAGAAGUUUGUACUAUUUUCUGGAAUUUUCUGUAUAAGAAUAAUUCCAGUAAUUGAAUUAAUGCGUCAGCACUGCGUCAGGGUGACGUCAGCGGUCAACGGGGCGGUCCAGGUCAAACUGACCAGUGGGUCCCGUUUGUCAGUAGUUAGUUAAACUAACUAAAUUUAGUUAGCGCUAACCCUGGGUUAGUUAGCAGGGCGGGCCCCACCUGUCAUGGACCCAAGGGUCAAGCUGGGCCCACCCGGUCAACUUGGUCAGCGGGGUCAAACCCGCCGGACUUGGUCCACGGCUCGUCGCCGGUGAAGCCCGAGACGGCGGAGGGGGUCGGAAUUUUCCCACGGUCGACCAAAUCGAUCGCGGUGACGACGUUCGGGGGCGUCCGGUGCCGCGUGGCUCGGCUGAGAGGAUGAGGGCGACGAGGCGGAGCUCUUGAGCCAGUCAGGGAAGCAAGGGGGGGCGGUGGCCGCGGUGGUGCACGUUGGCAGCGGCGGGCGUGUUUGGGUGGUGCGAGGGGGAGAGCCAGAGGAGGGGAGGAGGUCUAGCGAGAGAGGAGAGGUGCAGAGGGUCGAGGGGGGUGCGUGGUGUCGUGGGGUUGUCCAGGCCCUCGGCGGCAAGCAGGAGGUGGCGGGAAGAUGUGGCCACAGUCGCUCGCGUGCGGGCACGCAGCUGCUUCGGGGCGAGGGGAGGAAGACGACGGAGGGCUGCGGUGGUGGGCUGGGUCAGUUUGCCAGGCCGCCAGCUGGGCUGCACGGUUGAGGCCAGGUAAGAUUCUCUCUCUCUUUUAUUUGUUUCUGUUAUCUAUUUUUCUCCCUCUGUUUUGAUUUAGUUUAGCAACUAAAUCAUUUUAAUAAAUUCUGUAGGUUAUUAUAUACCUUGCUAAAAUAUAUACAAAGCCACUCACAAACUUCCAGAAUUAUAGGACUCAUAUUUAAUAUAUAUUAAAUAUAAAUCCAAAGCAAAUAGUUAUUGGAUUAAUUCAAAUGGCCAAAAUAAAUAUUUCUGUGACUCCAAAAAUAUUGGUUUGAAUUUUACCUCUUACCAAUAUUUCUAUAGAAUAACAGGAACAUUUUCUUGGACUCAUUUGAGAAGAUUUAAAUGUUGGUUAUUUUUAGAGGUUUUCUGAGGCUUUUGAAAAUUCCUCAAUUCAAGUUUCAUUUGAAUUUAAACAUGAUGCACACAUGAAGCUAGCCUGGGUCAGACCAGAAUUUGGGAUGUGACAGCUCCCCAAAUUUCAACAGCGCUCGCCGAAUGCAGCGCAAGAGGGAGUGGUUGUAGGGGACGUUGCGGCCGCCGAAUGGAGCGCAGGAGUAGCAUACGAAGCAUUAGAUGGUGUCCUUACUAGUACUCCCUAGUCUCUAUCUAUCUAUAUCUACUCUUAUAGAAAACCGAGCUGGUGAUGAUGGUAUGCCUGCCAUCCUGUAAUAUAGACAGGUCUGAUCUAUAUCUGACGGAUAGAAAGCCAACUAUGACAAUUUUACAAAAGAUACCCGCACCUCUCUCCACAUUUACAGAUAAGGCCUUGCCUCGUUCAUCCUUAUCUCCCACAACCUCGUGCUCCUCCCUAAGUCUCUAUCUCUACUACUCUUCUUUGUUUUUUAUAACAAAUCAAAUAGUAUUGCAUUGUCCGCUGCACGCCCGGCUGAACACGCCUCCUCGCCUCCAUCAUCACCAACUAAGUCUUUUAUAGGAGUAGGAGUAGAGAAAAAACCGAGUUGGUGAUGAUGGUGUGUCGUGCAAUGCAUGGGCAUCUUGCUAUUUUUUUGCAUAUAAUUCCAAACACCACGUAGACAUGGUCUCUGAGCACGCUUCGUAGUCGUUCCACGCUCGGGCAUUGAAGUUUGUAACUAUUUUAGAUUAGAAUAUACUACUCCUCCGGUGCUAGUAGUAGAGCAGAGUCCUACUCUACUACUCUACUCAAGCAAGUUAGGGCAUAGUACUGUGGUAGGUACUAUAGGGAGUACCAAUACUGUGAUCACUCAAGCAAGUUGUCUGGCAUCGAUAUGACCCUACGCUACUGGUAUGUGUCUCGUAAGUCAACGGCGUGCUGUAGUCAUCAUCACCUGUCCACUUCCCGCAGAACAUAUUCGCUUCUCCAUCUUUGUCCGCACAUAAUCUCGUCCAAUCUUCUAUCCCCGCUAAGGCACCUCCCCCCCCCCUCGUCCGAAACCCAAGCACUAACAAUGGCAGAACCCAGCAGUGUCCGCCGAAAGAGUGGCUGGAAUUCGCUCCCCACAGAGGUAAUCAAGCUCAUUGUUUCGCGUGUGGACAAUCUCAGUACCAUGCCGCUCGCCGCAUGCUCGUCGGGGCUGUACCAUUUACUCAAAGCCCUCAGGCCGGAGCUUUUUAAGCCAGCUCCUUGCUUGUUGAUGCCGUCUGAUCUUCAGAAAUGGCAUGUCACGCAGCAUAACGAUCGUAGGGUGGCGAGCAUCAACCCCCUUGACUGCAAUCCUAUCCCCGUCACCCUCAACUACAUUAACAGUAUGUACUGGGUCGGCAUGAACACGUCUUGGAUGGUGCUCGUCGACGGUCGCGGCAGCUGGAUGCUGGUGGAGGUCGACACCCGGUGAUUCAUCACCCUUCCUUCGAUUAACACUGCACUGCUUUGGCACUCCGGCCCAGAAUACUCGGAAUCUUACAGUAGCCAACAUGAUACCAGGUUUGAUUUGCUCAAGGUUGUGAUCUGCCAAGUGCCACAAGAUCUACGAAUUAUAAAGACUUCAGGCUAAUUGUGUUCUUCAACCGCGGUCUCGCCAAUCUGACAGGUCACUGCGGUAAGUGGAUAAAUCUGCACGUCCAUCGCAGGAUCAUACAUCCUCCAUGGUUCUCUAAUGCUAUUGAACACAAGGGCUUCAUUUACGCUGUCGACUCCUUCUAUGGCUGGACGUAUUGCUGGCCUACUCCAGUCAUCGCUACAAUCGGCUGUUACAGCAGUAUGUUACUUUCCUAUGAUAUCAUGAUGGCUUGCUUAUAUUACUGUCAACAUUUACUGAAAAAAUAUUCAUAACAUGCUAUUCUUAAGAUUGACUAAAUCAAGAGCCCUUUUUUAUUUGACUCCAACUUGAUAUGAUGUUGUAGGCCGCCUGGUGUCCGUACCCUUCCUAAUCCCAGAACCUUUCAAAGAAAAGCGGCAUGGCAGUUGCACGUGGUUCCUGGAUCGAUCAGACGACGGCGAACGAUUGAUGAUCGUUCACACGUACCGGACGUGUUGUUUCGCGGAAUACAAUCAUAUUCACUGCAAGGUCUUUGAGCAGGAUCCCAGCUUCGCUGGGCCUUCAAGAAUUUUUGACUGGAGGCUGGUAAGUAGCCUUGGUACACGCUCUCUGUUUGUCGGACUGAAUUAUCCGAUUAACCAGGAGAUAACCGACGGCAAGGAUCAUGAUGGCAGUGUGGUUUCGUUCAUCAGGAAAAACUGUGUGUACACAGCGUACCAUGUGUCUCUGCGUGCACCGUACCCUGAUAUGUGCCGCCACGCUCUGCAGCCCAAAGUAGGAGAGAGGGUCGCAAGUAUCAGACUUCGAACUGCUGGCUGGAGUUUCCCCCGUCAGGCACCCAUCUGGUUCAAGCCGUCAGCCAAUCUCCACAGCUUAAUAAAUAGUAACAUCUAACUGAGCCAGUUAGUUAGAUGCAUACACUUGGUGUAGUAGGAUCUUUAUUUAGUUUGAUGCAUACACUUGUUAUUUUUUGGUAGCCCUUUUGUAAUAAUGGCUUAUGUUUGGUUUGGAAGAGAGAGUUGCGUCUUCACUCUUCUGGCCUGCUUACUGCUUUUGUUGCACCCCCAGCCCUGGUUGCUGCUGCUGUUUUCAAUGUACAAUCAGUAGUAUAUUUCGUCUGUUGGUUAAAUAAAUGUGUUGUUAGAACGACAAACACAAUGUUUUGGAAGUCCUUGCACGGUUCGAUCCUUAGUGCCCCGUACCGUACGUAACGCAUACUAUUUUUUGUACGGAACACAUUUUCCACUUGUUGAUAACAUGCAGCCCACUGAUGAAGGCCCAAUAGAGGAGCCCAUAUUUAACUGGAAAGAAGGCUCUCACAUGAAUCCGGCCCAGGUACAUGCUCAUGGUCCCCUAAACAUAAAUAAGUAAAUAAAUAAAUAAAGCUAAAUGCUCAUGCACCAGUUCCUUAAAUUCAUGAUUUAACAGGAGGAUAUUAUUUCCUAUGAUAGUGCCGUUAUAUUCAGUCGAUAUUAUUCUUAGGCAAAGAUAGCGACCAGUCUUCUUUCUCCCAGUAUUUUCUUCCUACAACCAGCGGACCCAUGCAAAUCAUACUCAACGUUGUAAAUAGUUCCGGUCCAUUUUUUUCAAUAAGAAUGUCCAACCGAGCCCAGCACAUUGGCGACAGCACUUUAUCCUCCGCCUUGGUGCGCUCGCCGCGGCGCCGCCGUCCGGCCCUGUCAACAUAGUUUUUUUUUAAACGGUCCCUGUCAACAUAGUGAAUCGGGAGAGAACUGUAGUUGUGAGUAUGACAGUACGGACCCACCAGGUCCACUCCCGAACACAAGCAAGUGCCUCUUUUACUACUCAGAUGCACCCCUCGUUUUUUACUCUAAUCCACCCUGCUGAUAUCCGGGGCCCACAUCAUUUUUAACGUAUAGUCAAUUAACGACAGAAUUGCACAACUUUUUUUGAGUAGUAAUUCGGAGGAGCAGGCUAUAAACUGGGUUGUGUGGUCUCUGUGGCCCGUCUAACAACAUGACCAGCCCAGCAGGUUUUUCUUUGGGAAAAUAGGUAGCCCAAUAUUUCUUUUUGAAGAAUACCCAAGCUAGGCCUAUUUGGUUUCUUUGACUUACUGGGCUGCAAAUCUUUCAAGACAAGGAGGGAUGCAUUCCGGCCUGGCCAAAGAGUAUGGUCAGUGUAUGUUAAAAGUAAUAUCAAAGGGGUUGAAAAUUCCAAAAAAUUAUAGCAAAUGGGAUAUUAGUUUCUUUUUUUGUUUUUGUUCUUCACUGAUAUUUUAUAGUAUUUCAUUGGAUUUAACAUGACAUAGUACUAAUUUAUUUUUAAAUUUGUUUUAGUAUGGCUACUAAUUUUUGGAUUAAGAAUAUUUUGUUCCCCAGCCAAAAUUUGCAAAUUUUCAAAAUUUCGCACAUAUUUUUAGUUAAUUUUUUUAACCCUGGUACUGACCAGAAAAUUGGUAGCAAUUCUAAAAAUGGAAAAUGGGCUGCAAUAAUUUCCAUAUGAAUUAUAAAAUGAGUAAAAAUUAUAAAAAUAAUAGCAAAUGGGCUAUACAUGACACAGAUUUCGAGGUUGACUUGUUUACGCAAGGCUUUGUCAGUCAACACACGAUUCUAGCAGUAGUGACUGUUUGAUGUCCAUCCAACGGACGACGUGCUUCUUCAAUCUCUGAUCUUCCUACUCCAGCCGCCUAAACUAGCGCCGGUGGGACUACCUGCUCCCUCCUCUUGUGGCCCGCUGUGAUGCCGCGCAGGCUUCCCUGGCCCACCCUACUCCCUCCGCUAGCAUGGCCGCACGCAAUCAACUGCCUCCUUAUUACCCGAAAAAAAUGAUUCCUCCCACUGACAUCUGUGGCGCACCGGUUGGGAGGCUGACCUGUGGGCCUACUAAGUUGACGCGUACGCAGGGCUUGUCAACUUAGUCAACAAAUGAUUGUAGCGGGAGUAACCGUUGGAUUUGAAUCGAACGGUCAUGCUGCUUCUUCAAGUGCUGCUCUUCUUGCACCAGCCGCCCAAACCGGCGCCGGCGAGACCGCCUGCUCCUGCCUCCAGUGGUCGGCUGUGCUGCCGUUGAGGCCUCACCGCCCCCUACUACUCCCACCGCUAGCCAAGCCCUGCAGCGACGGCAGCCUCACACUGUAGCCGAACCAGUGAACCCUCCUACUCCUCUACGCGUGGGCAUCCACUGUCACGUCUUCCCCAGCAACGCGUCGUCCCCUUCCUUCCUAGGCCUCGCCGUCGUCCAUCGACCUGGUGCUCUCGGCGUGGCGUGGUCAACGUGGUCAAGGAACGACUUCCAUCGAAAGAGUACCGUACGUGCAGAGGCUGACAGUUGGGUCCACGGCAGCCGCAAGGAAGUGCCUCCUUAUUAGGCGCAAAAUAAUUAUUCCUCCACCUGACAGCAGGGACCCACCGGACGGGCCACCAGUAUUUUGCAAAAAAAAACAUUUCCCCCUGGCUACUGGGACCCACCGGACGGACCGCUGUAUUUUGCGGAAAAAAUGUUUCCCCCGCUGUCAGCUCGGACCCACCGGAAGUGCCUCCUUAUUACGCACAAAAAAAAUGAAUACUAACCGGCUAGCUGGGACCCACCUUGGUGGGAGGCUGACUUGUGGGCCUACUAAGUUGACGGGGACGGAGGGCUUUGUCAACUUAGUCAAUAUGAAUGAUUCUAGCUCCAGUGACCGUACGAUGUCCAUCCAACGGCCAUAGUGCUUCUUUAACCUCUGGUCUUCGUGCUCCAGCCACCCAAAGCAGCGUCGGUCGUGCCGCAUGCUCCUGCCUCCCGUUGCCGGUUGUGAUGCUGCGGACGCCUCACCGCCGUCUACUACUCCCACCACUGGCCAGGCCAUCCCUCUACUCACCCACACCCCCUAUUAUUCUGCGGCGACGGCAACCUCACAUCGCAGCCGAACCAGUGAACCCUCGUACUCCUCUUCGCGUGGGCAUCCACUGUUGUGUCUUCCCCGGCUCCGCGUCGUCCCCUUCCUAGGCCUCGUCGUCGUCCACCGCCAUGGUGAUCUCGGCGUGGCGUGGUCAACAUGGUCAAGGAACGGCUUCCAUCGGGCGUGGACUGUACGUGGAGAGGCUGGCAGCUGGGUCCACGGCCGCAGCUAGGAAGUGCCUCCUUAUUACGCGCAAAAGAAUUAUUCCUCCACCUGACAGCGGGGACCCAGCGAACGGGCCACCAUAUUUCGUGAAAAAAAUGUUUCCCCCUGACUGCUGGGACCCACAAGCUACAUCUCCGCGCGCAAGGAAGUGCGUUCGGGCAAAAAAAACGAUUCACCCCCCUGACUGCUGGGACCCACUAGCUCCAUCUUCGCACGCAAGGAAGUGCCUGACAGUUGGGACCCACCUGGUCGAAGCAUACGUAGCGUUGUCAUUCUGGUCGCGAACGUGUACGUACAUACUAGUGGAUGUAGAGGCGCGCACGUGUCGUAGUAGAUGCGCGCACGUGUCAUAGUGAGGCGCGUACAUGUUGUAGUAGAGGCACACAUGUAGCAUGUACACGUACGUACAGCGGCCAGUGUGCAAGAAAGAAAAUAUGGCCACGUAUGUGUACAUACGGGCGCGGUCUCGAACGCCUACUCGCGCAUACGUAUGGCCAGGGCUCGUGUACAUGGCUGGGUCGGACCGGAGAAACAGCGUUGUCGUCGUGUUCAUGGGGAGCCAACCGGCUAGGUCGGAACGGAAUGCGUCGUCGUGUUCAUCGGGAGGGCUUGGACGGAACAGGCGAUGGAAAAGAGGCUUGGCGUAUCGUAGAAUGGAGGAAACGACCUUGUGUUCGACCGUCCACGUUCGAAACGGGAUCCUGUUCAUUCGGAGGGGUCUGGCGUACUGCAAAACGGAGGAAACGGACCUCCUACGGUCGAAACGGGGGUCCUGUUGAUCGGGAGGGGUGUGGCGUACCGCAAAACGGACGAAAUGGACUUGUGUUGGAGCGCUACGGUCGAAACGGGGGUCCUGUUCAUCAGGAGGGGUGUGGCGUACCGCAAAACGGGACUCCACGGGAUACUGUUCAUGUCCACCGUCGACCUCCUCUAGCCUCCACGGGCUACCGUCGACCUCCUCCAGCCUCCACGGGCUCCUGUUCAUCCAGCCUCCACCGCGCGCUACUCCACGGGCUACUGUUCAACCACCCCUCCACGGGCACCCCUCCACCAUCUACUGUUCAUCCAGCCCUCCACGGGGUCAUCCUAUUCAUCCAGCCCUCCACGGGGUCCUGUUCAUCCAGCCCCAACCGGCUCGAUCGAGGCAAUGCCACGGGGUCCUGUUCAUCCACCCCCACNNNNNNNNNNNNNNNNNNNNNNNNNNNNNNNNNNNNNNNNNNNNNNNNNNNNNNNNNNNNNNNNNNNNNNNNNNNNNNNNNNNNNNNNNNNNNNNNNNNNNNNNNNNNNNNNNNNNNNNNNNNNNNNNNNNNNNNNNNNNNNNNNNNNNNNNNNNNNNNNNNNNNNNNNNNNNNNNNNNNNNNNNNNNNNNNNNNNNNNNNNNNNNNNNNNNNNNNNNNNNNNNNNNNNNNNNNNNNNNNNNNNNNNNNNNNNNNNNNNNNNNNNNNNNNNNNNNNNNNNNNNNNNNNNNNNNNNNNNNNNNNNNNNNNNNNNNNNNNNNNNNNNNNNNNNNNNNNNNNNNNNNNNNNNNNNNNNNNNNNNNNNNNNNNNNNNCGCUUCAGUUAGCAGCAGUAGUGAAGGAAUUGCUCGAUCGGGUUUAGUUAACAGGCAUCGAUCGAUCACUCGGGUUCAGUAAUGCGUACUCGGGUUCAGUUAGAGCCCAACACCUCGCUUGGGUUUAGUUAGAGCCAACGCCUCGCACACAUGCGUGUACGUGUAUGAGAGAAACGUGCAUCGCUCGGCCCCCGACCACCCACCGUAACCGGGAACUCGCCAAAAUUUUCCUCGCCCUCGCUUCUACCACGGUUUUUUCCGUCAUGGACGGCCCAAAAAAUGUCAUGCAGUUGCGUCUCCGGCCCGCCCAGGACGAAAAGCCCAUUUUCUGUCAUGAUGUUUUGUCAUAGAAGUAGGAGCCCACCACAUCUAUGAUGAUACCGGGUUUUGUCACAAUUAUCGUCACAGAAGUGUCAUAUCUAUGACAGAAAAAAAAUUCGUUUGGCCCAAAAUGUCAUGGAUGUGUCUUUUUUUUGUAGUGAGAGCUAUAAGUUUAUGAAAGAUCAAAAAAGAAAAACUAAGUGGGUGUGUAUCCAACUUGUUUGCUCAUGAAGACCUAGGGAGAUUUGAGGAAGCCUGCUACUUCUUGAGCUUGCGUUGCUUUUUCCCUUAAAGAGGAAAGGGUGAUGUAGCAAAGUAGAGAUAAGUAUUUCCCUCAGUUUGAGAACCAAGGUAUCAAUCCAGUAGGAGACAAUGCAUAAAUCACCGAAUACCUAUGCAAACAAAACUUGGACCCAACGCGAUAAAGGGGUUGUCAAUCCCUUCAUGGUUACUUGCAAAAGUGAGAUCUAGUAGAGAUAGAUAAACGAUAAAGUAAAUAUUUUUGGUUUAUAGAUCGGAAAGUAAAAUAUUAAAAGGAUAGUAGAUUGGACACUAAGAUUGUAGAUCGGAAACUUGUAUGAUGGAAAAUAGACCCGGGGCCAUAGGUUGCACUAGAGGCUUCUCUCAAGAUAGCAAAUAAUAUGAUGGGUGAACAAAUUACUGCCGAGCAAUUGAUAGAAAAGCGCAAAGUUAUGACGAUAUCUAAGGCAAUGAUCAUGAAUAUAGGCAUCACAUCCGUGUCAGGUAGACCAACCCUUGCCUGCAUUUACUACUAUUACUCCACACAUCGACCGCUAUCCAGCGUGCAUCUAGAGUAUUAAGUUUAUAAAGAACAGAAUAAUGCAUUAAAUAAGAUGGCAUGAUGUAGAGGAAUUAACUCAAGCAAUAUGAUGAAAACCCCAUCUUUUUAUCCUCGAUGGCAACAAUACAAUACGUGUCUUGCUGCCCCUACUGUCACUGGGAAAGGACACCGCAAGAUUGAAACCAAAGUUAAGCACUUCUCCCAUUGCAAGAAAAAACAAUCUAGUAGGCCAAAGCUUAACCAAACCAAAUCGAUAGUUCAAAAAGAAUUACAAAGAUAUCAAAUCAUGCAUAUAAGAAUUCAGAGAAGAUUCAAAUAAUAUUCAUAGAUAAGCUGAUCAUAAGUCCACAAUUCAUCGGAUCUCGGCAAACACACCGCGAAAAGGUAUUACAUCAAAGAGAUCUCAAAGAACAUCGAGGAGAACCUGGUAUUGAGAAUCAAAGAGAGAGAAGAAGCCAUCUAGCUACUAGCUAUGGACCCGUAGGUCUAUGGUAAACUACUCACGCUUCAUCGGAAGGGCAAUAGAGUUGAUGUAGAAGCCCUCCGUGAUCGAAUCCCCCUCCGGCAGGGCGCCGAAAAAGAUGCCUAGAUGGGAUGUCACAGGUAUAGAAGGUUGCGGCGGCGGAAAAGUGUUUUCGUGGGAUGCCCCUGAUGGUUUGGGGAUAUAUGGGAAUAUAUAGGUGAAAGAAUUAGCUCAGGAGGCUCAUGUGGGGCCCACAAGGGUGGGGCACGCCCUCCGUCCUUGUGGCCGCCUCGUGGCUCCCCCGACUUCAUCUUCAAGUCUCCCGGUUGUCUUCUGGUCCAAGAAAAAUCAUCGCGAAGGUUUUAUUCCGUUUGGUAUUCCUUUUCUGCGAAACUCAAAAACAAGGAAAAACAUGAAAUGGCACUAGGCUCUAGGUUAAUAGGUUAGUCCCAAAAAUAAUAUAAAAUAGUAUAUUAAUGCAUAUAAAACAUCCAAAACAGAUAAUAUAAUAGCGUGGAACAAUCAAAACUUAUAGAUAUGUUGGAGAUGUAUCAGGAAUGAACUGAUUAAACAAACAUCAAGUAUGCAUCAACUGUGCGACCAGAGAAGUCACAUUGACAAGCCGGGAAGGCCAAACCACACAAUUCUUUGCUCGAUGAAGCAUAUCCAAGAAAGAAAUGGUCUUCGCAGCUUUAGCUGAAGAAUUGGAUCUAAUUCCUAUGGUCAGUGAGUUUCCAGAUGUAUUUCCUGAGGAACUACCAGGGAUGCCGCCAGAUCGUCAGCUUGAGUUUGCAAUUGAUCUUGUGCCCAGGACCGUACCUAUUUACAAGAAGUAUUACCGGAUGCCUUCAUCCGAGUUAGUGGAGCUAAAGAAACAUCUUGAUGAGAUGCUUCAGAGAGGAUACAUUCGUCCUAGUUCUUCACCAUGGGGAUCACCCGCAAUCUUCAUGGACAAGAAAGACGGCAGUCUUCGGAUGUGUGUAGAUUACCGAUAGUUGAAUGAUGUCACAAUAAAGAACAAAUACCCACUUUCAAGGAUUGAUGAUUUGUUCGACCAACUCAGUGGGGCACAGGUAUUCUCCAAGAUUGAUUUGAGAACCGGAUAUCACCAGCUCAGAAUCAAGAAGGAGGAUAUUCCUAAGACAGUAUUCACCACUCGCUACGGUCUUUAUGAAUAUACAGUCAUGUCUUUCGGUCUCAUCAAUGCCCCUGCUUUCUUCAUGCACAUGAUGAACAAAGUAUUCAUGGACUUCUUGGAUAAAUUUGUGGUGGUCUUCAUUGAUGACAUCCUCAUAUACUCAAAAGAUGAAGAAGAGCACAAGGAACAUCUCAGAGCAGUCUUGCAAAGACUCCGUGACCAUCAGUUAUAUGCAAAAUUCAACAAAUGUGAAUUUUGGCUCAAGCAAGUCAGAUUUUUGGGGCAUGUUCUUUCAGCAGAAGGUAUAGUCGUGGAUCCAAGCAAAGUGAACGACGUGCUUAAGUGGCCAGCACCCACGACAGUGACUGAGAUCUGAAGUUUUCUUGGAUUAGCCAGAUAUUACCGUCGAUUCAUUGAAGGCUUCUCAAAGAUUGCUAAGCCCAUGACAGAACUCCUCAAGAAGGAUCAGAAGUUUGUAUGGUCUGAGGACUAUGAGAAGAGUUUCAAUGAGUUGAAGACCCGAUUGAUGUCAGCACCUAUUUUGACCCUCCCAGACAUCUAUCACAGCUUUGAUGUAUACUGCAACGCAUCCAGGAGAGGUAUUGGGUGUGUGCUCAUGCAAGAUGGCAAGGUUGUAGCCUACGCAUCUAGAUAGCUAUGACCCCACGAAGGGAACUACCCAACGCAUGAUUUGGAGUUGGCCGCAGUUGUGCACGCGUUAAAGAUUUGGAGGCACUACCUCAUUGGCAAAAGAUGUCAGAUAUUUACCAACCACAAGAGUCUUAAGUAUAUAUUCACCCAAUCGGACUUGAAUCUCCGACAGCGAAGAUGGCUCAAAUUGGUAAAGGAUUAUGAUCUUGGAAUAAACUAUCAUCCUGGCAAGGCCAAUGUGGUUGCCGAUUCCCUCAGUCGCAAGCCUUCCAACCUGAACGCCUUAAUGAAGUCCUUGCCUCCCAAGCUCCAAGAAGAGAUCGCUCAGCUUAACCUGGUUAUUGUUUGGGCUGACCUCACUAAAAUGUUGGAAAUCACCCCUACCCUCGAAGAAGAAAUCCGCAUGGCCCAGCUGGAUGACUCAGUCCUGCAACACCAUGUCAAGCGUAUGCAAGAAGGCAACACCUGAGAUUUUGCGAGGGAUGAGCAAGGUACUCUAAGGUUUCGAGUUCGGAUUUGCGUACGGGAACAAGCAGACCUGAGAAGGAAGAUCUUGACAGAAGCACAUGAAUCUUCAUACUCAGUUCACCCAGGAGGUACCAAUAUGUACGAAGACCUUCGGCAGACAUUUUGGUAGGAUGGAAUGAAGAAGGACAUCGCCUAUUUUAUCGCUUGUUGCGACAUAUGUAACAAGGUGAAGGCAGAACAUCAGAAACCUGUCGGACUUCUCCAACCUUUAUCUAUUCCACAAUAGAAGUGGGACGAUGUCUGCAUGGAUUUCAUCACUGGCCUGCCAAAGACUCAGCGAGGCAAUGAUGUAGUAUGGGUUGUGGUGGACAUGCUGACGAAGGUAGCUCACUUCAUUCCCAUCAGUACCACCUACCGAGCCGAUCAACUCACGCAGCUAUAUGUGUCAAGAAUUGUCAAUUUAAAUGGAGUGCUAAGAACCAUCACUUUCGACUGAGGUUCUCUCUUUACCUCAGCAAUCUGGUCACGUCUCCAUCAAGCUUUGGGGACCGCCUUAAAGUACGGCACCACCUAUCACCCAUAGACAGACAGGCAAACUGAGCGAGUAAAUCAAAUACUUGAAGAUAUGCUCCACGCAUGUGCUCUGGUCCAAGGACCCAAGUGGGAAGAUUGUCUGCCUUAUGCUGAGUUUUCCUACAACAACAGUUUCCAGACCAGCCUCAAGAUGUCACCCUGUGAAGCUCUGUAUGGCCGUAAGUGCCGCACCCCACUAAACUGGUCUCAAACUGAAGAUAGGUGCAUUUUUGGAACUGACUUAAUGAUGGAGUCUGAAAAGCAAGUCAAAGAGAUCCGAGAUAGACUGCAAGUGGCAAAUUCCGACAAAAGAGCUACUAUACUCCAAGCACCGACAGGUCGGUUUCAAACCCGGAGAAUAUGUUUACCUUCGAGUCACACCCAUGAAAGGAGUCAAGAAGUUCUAGAACCAAGGGAAGCUUUCACCCAGAUAUACUAGCCCAUUCCCAAUUAUGUCCAGAGUUGUUAUCGUGGCUUACCAGUUGGAACUACCACCGGAAUUGUCAGAAGUGCAUGAUGUGUUCCAUGUCUCACAGUUGAGAAGUUGUAUCUCACCACCCGAGAAAUGGCUGAUAUGGCAGAGAUAGAGCUUGCUAAGGAUUUGACCUAUGAGGAGAAACCGUUCCGAAUAUUGGAAGAAAUGGAAAAGUCACCCGCAGUAAGGCAAUUAAAUUCUAUAACGUGCAGUCCGAGCAUGAUACCGACUGUCGUGGAAUAGUCACGGUAGAUGUCCUAGCGAAAGGACUUAGUCAAGGAGCCAUCGCAACUAGGUUAGCUUAAAGGGGUUAAACAGGACAAAGGACAUAGGAGUUUAUACUAGUUCGGCCCCUUGUGGUGAAGGUAAAGGCCUAAUCCAGUUUGAGGUGGUAUUGCUUAUGUCUCGAUUACCAGGGAGCGAAUCCGCUUGACCUAGCUUUCGGUCUCUUGUUUUUUGCCCUGAACCGCCGCCGGGUCAUCCCUUUAUAUACACAAGUUGACGCUCAGCAGCUCACGGAGUCCCGGCCAGCUCAUAGACAACGUGUCCGGCUUGGUGACUAUCUAUACAUGCCUUACAAAACAAGUCUUGCACAUAUGGCGGUUUACUCCUACGGGCCUUAAGUUGCCCUUGGGCCUUGGGCCCUUGCCUAUGAACCGUCAUCUUCAAUAUCCUUGUGGGCUUCAUAUUAUGAGUCGCCAUAGGUAUAACCCGGCCCCUCCUGGGCGGGUCAUACCUAAUAGUUAUAUCCCCAACAUUAGGCCCCAGGUUGAUUUGAACUGGUUCAUGUCAAUCUUCAACACUUAGAAAAAUCUUCCCUUCUUUAUUUGUGCGAGAACUCAUAGCCCGCCAUGACGUCAUCUCCUGGACUUGUGGUAGCCCGCCAUGACGCCACCUGCCAUUAAUUUACACAAUAUCCAAUAUAUCUUAACGAAUUCUUAUUUUUAAUAGUUGUCCUGAGAAUCGAGGCGACCAAGCAGCUGGAUAACCAUUUUUUGGCAUCCUUGUUUUUUGCGCCCACUUAUUAGCCUUCUCCUUAUAAAUAGGGUCGAACCUCCCUUAUGUCAUUCUCCCCCUUCUCUUUCCCGUCUUCCUCCUCUCGCAACUCUUCUACCACUCGAGCUCCGCCGCCAUCGCGAAGCGCACCGUCCUCUUCGUCCUCGGCGGCUACAUCAAUCUGAAAGGGACCAAACAAAGCCGGCGCCCACCGUAGUCUCAUCUACAUCUGUAAGUGUUCCCCCUCCUAUGCUCUAGAUCCUCAUUAGGGUUCCUGUAGUUCUUCGUAGUUCUUUGUAGUUCUUCGCCCUCCAUCUUCAACCCUAGCAUCUUUUGAUCUGAAGAUAGCAUAUAACUCAUGCGGUAGCAGUUUUGCCCUUGCUUUUAAUGCCAGCGAACCCUUUUUCCAUCAUAAAAGAUCUCCUCGGAACCUAUGAACUCCCCUGCACUGUUUUUAGGUUUUAGAUUUUUUUUGCAUUUUCUGAACUGCGAUCCAAAAUUAUAAUUUCAGUCUGUGAAACAUGUUUGUCCAGUACUUAGCAAAAUUUCCUUCCUGAUAGAUCAACCUAGUCAUGGCGGCUUACACCACUAGUUGUAGCUAGAUUUAACACUUUGGCAAGCUUUACUCUUUGAUGGAUAUCAAUAUUUUCAUGGUGGCUUACAUAACCCAUUGUAGCUAGCUAUAUACAAUUAGGCCCCUUUUUAAGCCGCCAUUCUGAAUAGGUGUUAUAAUGCUCUUCCUCUGGCUUAAUUUAAACCGGCAAACUUGUUCUUUUUCUUUUUAGGCUUCUUUCUUCACAAUGGCCCCGAAGACAGCCACCUUCUGUAACUGGGUUCCCUUCAUUGUCACUGAGAACACACUCUGAGACUUUGUGAAAACCGGCUAUUUGCCAAAGAAAACUAUCAUGCAUUAUCGCGCCCCCAAGCCGGAAGAGGAGAAACCUCAGCCAAAGGAUGAUGAAGUCAUUGUCUUUACUGAUCACAUGAACCGGGGCUUCUCACUGCCCGGCUCUAAAUUCUUCCGGGACAUUCUGCAAUUUUUUAAUCUUCAUCCUCAAGACAUCGGACCCAAUUCCAUGUCAAACAUAUGCAAUUUCCAAGUUUUCUGUGAGGUGUACCUUCAAGAGGAGCCCAGUGUGGAGCUAUUCAGAGAAUACUUUUAUUUGCACUGCCAAAACGAGUACUCAAAUGGACCCAGCCUGGAACUUGGUGGAAUCUCAAUUCAGCGAAGGAGAGAUGCUAUCUUCCCUUAUGCUCGCAUGCUAAGUCAUCCCAAGGAUUGGAAUCAGACAUGGUUCUAUUGCAAGGAUACUUCUCCGGCUGACGAGAACCGACUACCCGGCUUUCGCACCCUAUGUCUUGACUCAAAACAUCCUCUCCCUGACAAGGUGACAGUCGUUGAACGCAAAAAACUCACCCCUAGCUACCAUUGCCAAGGUGAAGGCUCUGUUGGGAAAUGGCUUAACUGGCAUUGACUUGUUCGAUGCUGGGUUGCAUGGCGGGUCAUUCCAUUGAGUUGCCGCACCGGCUUAAUGUGCACCUACACUGGUGGCAAAAAGGAUCCAUUGUGCCACAGCUCUGAGGAUUUAACUAGCGACGCCAUCAACAGAAUGACAAAGUCCCUUCUGCAUGAAAGCCUGGUAGACUGCAGCAAGGUGGGCCUAAGCCCUUUCUACACAUCUAACCCGGCACCAAAAGUGAGUCUUUAAAUUACUUAUCUUACCUUCAUCCUUAAAUAUUUUGUUUAACUCAACUUGGAUGACUUUCACAGGGUGAUGAUGACUUUUGGAAGAAGGAAUAUGACCAUGAAGCUGCCAAAAGGGCCAGGAAAGCCAAGAAAGCGUCAUCCCCGAUUUAAACUCUUUUUAUCCUCUGGCAGGUCUCAUCCGCCAACCACUUAAUUCUUUCGACUCAAAUUAUUAGGAAAUGUCUCGUUCCUCUUACGGCAAUUCAUCUCAGUCUCAUCUGACGGCUUUCAAGAAUGCUCCCGGGUAAUAACAAUUACUUAUUAUAUGCUCAUUAUGCUCCUUUAUACUUAUACUGACCUCUCAUGACUCAUGAAGUGGAAAAGCCAAGACUAGGGAAAAGGCAAAAGUGACUAAGCCGACCGAAGACCCGAAAGUCAAUGAGCUGGAGCAACAGAUUCCAGCGCCUGAGACUUCCGCUCCUCAAUCGUCAGAGCCGGUUCUUGACGUUCCACCAGUGACUUCUGACCCUCCUGUCGACCAAGCAAACGAUGAUCCUUUGACUACUGAAGCGUCAAGUCCAGUAGAAACGGCUGAGACACAUGAUGAUGAUGUGGUGAUUACCAACACUGGCUUUAGAGAGCCGGGAAGACCCACCGCCCUGGCCAAAAACUCCACCAAGGAAGAAUACGUUGAACAGUGCAAAGUGAGAUUUGAUGUUCCCAAUUACUCUCAACUGAGCAUUGGUGAAACAAAUUCUGGCUUUCUCAGUCAGGUGCACUCCAGUCGUGACCUUGAAGUUGAUAUGGUAAAGCAGAUGCACCAAAAAUUUGAGGUAUAAGCUCCUUUUUUGAGUGAUGCACUUCCUGUCAGGCCCCAAGUCUACUAUUUAUGAUGGAAUUGAAUAUGUGGUAGACUUGAUUAACCAUGAGCAUAAAUAAUAACCUUUGAUAGAAUCCUUCAAAAUCCAGCUUAAAGCAUCCGGUUAGAAUAGAUCUGUAAUGAUUAACACUGAAUCCGUAGCCCCCAAGGGCCAGUUUAAUCAGCAUGAAUGAGCCGGUCCUUUGCAUCAUUGUUUUAUACGCUUUACUUGUGUAGCCCCCAUGAGCCGGUUGUGUGUACUUUCAGCACAUCUGGGUCAUCAGAAAAUAAUCGUGAAAAAACAAGUAAUAUGCAUUAGCCCCCAAGUCCAAAGUAUUCUUGCUUGCAAAGUGCUUGGGACUUAUUCACAUGAACCGUUGUAUGAAUAAUUGUUUUGGCAAACAUUAGCCCCCAAGUGCCAAGUGUUGUUGCUUGCAAAAUGCUUGGGAAUUCCUUGUUGUGACUCAUAAUUUUGAACCGGCAUAUGCACAGGACACCACUGCUCAACUUGAAUGUCAAUUAGCUGACAUGAAAGCCCGGCUGGAGGUGCCAGAAUCUAAGACCCGGAAGGCCGACUCAAAAUUCCAGUUUAGCAUUGCAGAAAUGGAGAAACUGAAAACCGGUUUUGAAGUUGAAAGAAGCGCUUGGGCUGAAGAGAAAACUGCCUUGACACAGCGGGCUCAGAAGGCGGAGGCGGCUCUUCAGGAAGCGACCACUGAACUUACCGGCUUAAAACGCCAUGUGUCUCAGAUGGUUUCUGCUAUCUUUGGUAAGUCGCCUCACUGGUAUCCAUUUUGAAUUUUUCUCUGAUGAUAUAAACCGCCUCUAACCCAUCCAUGAUUAUUAUGUAGGCCCCAGGAGCACCAAUCUUAACCAAGAUAUGCUGGUGAAGCUGAAGGCGGUUUACACACUUGUUGAGCAACUCUAUACUGGGGCUCAACGCGCAUUGGCCACAAUUUCUCCGUCCAACCAAGCACCUACACUCUUAGUUGAGGUCUCGAGGAAGCUUUCUAUGUUGCCUGAAAGGUUUAAUGAGAUGAAGCGAUCAUCUGCAACAGCUGGCGCUAUAACAGCCUUGAGCCGGGCCAAAGCAUGGCUACCACAGCUACACCCGGCCGAUAUAUCAACCGGGUAUCCAAGUCUGAAAGAGGAUGGCACUCCUUUUGAUAAAAAAGACUUUGCCGCCUAUGUAAAGGAGAUACGUCCCCUUGCCAUUCUGAUUGCUAAUGAAUCAGAUCUUUCAAAAUAUCAACCGGCUUAUGAUAGGAAAAACCAAAAACUGCCUACGUCGGCUUAUAAAGUGACUGAUCUGAUUCCCCCAAUCCGUAAGCACACUUUUGCUCCUGAAGUUGACCUGUCUGAGCUUAUUGAUAAUGAAGCUGAAUUCCAAGCCUUGAGUGGCACUGACUGGUCAUCACCAACCUUCUAGGAAGUAGAGCCGGACGAAGAAGCGGAGAAGGAUGAUCCAGAAGCUUCAUGUCAUCAAAGCCAGGAAGAUUAAUCCGCUGGGCGGUUCACAUGUGUGAUCUUCUGAAAAACACUUAACCAUUUUGGCUCCUUGAGUCAUGUAAUAGGCUAGAAAAAACUUUGAUAUAUCGUGCCAUCGUGCACGUUUGAUGUUUUGCCCAACGCUGUUUGAGCCGCCACUUGAUAAUUAUCCUUUUAGACUUAUCAUGAUGUUGAUUGGUGCAGAUGAAAAUUUUGAAUUAUCCCGCACACAAGUAGAUCACAAGAGCCCUUGGCGGUUUACCGUAGGGCAGGUCAUGAUACCCAUAUAAAGCCACUAAUGUUUUAAAACAAUUUAUAGACAGGCCUGGUUUAGUCAUAAUUAGAUAUAAUCAUAACAAAAAUAUCAUACCUGUGAUAUUGACUUGUACUGCCGGCUUAUGAUACAUGUGUAGUAAGGGUGACGACUCAAAGCUUAGAAGCCAAUGCUUCCAAGUGUUUAAUAUCCUCAUGGACUGGCGACUUAUCGUCCAGAGCCACAUCGGGUUAACAGAAAGCACGGGUAUGCUUCAAAUAUGAGCUGUAAGAAUUGAGGCUACAUGGCCUGAAUCACUUUAAACCAUAAGGCAAGAUAGGAUCAAGAAAACCUGAAAAAAUGUUCAAAAAAUCAAGCCAAAUGAGAAAAAACGAGGCUAUGCUUCGAAUACGAGAAGGAAGCCGGACCAAAAGGGUUAAUAGCUAUGAUUCGAAUACCAUCAGGAAGCCCCCAAGUGGUUUGUGGCAUUGCACCGAUCACUAGGGUACCGAUGGCUAUGAUUCGAAUACGAUCAGGAAGCCCCCUAGUGACCAUGAUAUUUUGGCAUUGCGCCGAUCAAGAGGGUACCGAUAGCUAUGUUCUCUUUGGUGAAGACACCUAUGUUUGAACAGGAAGCCCCCAAGUGACCAUAAGGUUUGGCAUUGCACCGAUCAAGAGGGUACCGACAGCUAUGUUCUCUUUGGUGAAUACACCUAUGUUUGAACAGGAAGCCCCCAAAUGACCAUGAGGUUUGGCAUUGCACCGAUCAAGAGGGUAUCGACAGCUAUGUUCUCUUUGGUGAAUACACAUAUGUUUGAAUAGGAAGCCCCCAAAUGACCAUGAUAUUAUGAUGAAACAGACUCAUUAUUUGUGGAAACGAAACAACAAAGGCCCUGCUUUGUCAGGGAUGCCGGCUUUAUUAUAAACAUCAUAAUAUAUACAUUGUCGAAGUAUGUACAUCAUAAGAGCCGGUGGCUCAAGUGUUGUAAGGCCGAAGAUGAGAAAUAUUCCACGGUCGGCGGGUCUCCUCCUCUGACUGACGUGAGUCCUUGUGGUCUCGAACAUCGAUGAGAUAAUAUUUUUCAAAUUCUUGCUUGCCUCAAAGGGUCCUUCCCAAGGUGUGGAUAGCUUGUGCAUGUUAGUUUGAUCCUGGAUGAGCCGGAGCACCAAGUCACCUUCUUGAAAGGCUCUGGUCUUAACCCAGAGGUUGUGAUAGCGUCAUAGGUCUUAUUGGUAAAUCACCGAACGAGCCGCUGCAAGGUCACACUCCUCAUCUAACAGGUCAACUGCAUCCUGGCGUGCUCUUUCAUUAUCAGCCUCAACAUAAGAUGCCACACGGGGUGAGUCGUGACGGAUGUCACUAGGGAGAACCGCCUCUGCUCUGUAAACCAUGAAGAAAGGCGUGUAACCCGUAGACCUGUUGGGGGUAGUAUUGAUACUCCAUAACACUGAAGGUAACUCCUCCACCCAACAACCUGGUGUCCUCUACAAAGGAAACAUAAGCUGGGGCUUGAUGCCUCUCAAAAUUUCUUGAUUGGCUCUUUUAGCAUGACCAUUGGAUUGGGGGUGAGCUACUGACAACACGUCAAGUCGAAUAUGCUCAUGUUGACAAAAUUCUUUCAUAGCACCCUUGGACAGAUUAGUACCAUUAUCAGUUAUGAUGCUGUGGGGAAAGCCAAAGUGAAAAAUCACCUUUUUGAUGAAUUGAACCGCCGUUACCGCGUCACACUUAGUGACCGGCUCUACUUCGACCCACUUUGUGAAUUUGUCAACCGCCACCAAAAGGUGGGUCUUUUUAUCCUUGGACUUAAAAGGCCCAACCAUAUCAAGCGCCCAGACUGCGAACGGCCAAGUAAUUGGAAUCAUCCUCAAUUCUUGAUCCGACACGUGAGCUCGCCGUGAAAAAUUCUGACAACCAUCACAUUUACUGACCAAAUCCUCUACAUUAGCGUGAGCCGUCAUCCAAUAAAAUCCAUGAUGAAAAGCUUUAGCCACAAGAGACUUUGAACUGGCAUGAUGACCACAAUCUCCUUCAUGAAUCUCGUGAAGAAUCUCACGGCCCUCCUCGGGAGAGAUGCAAUGCUGAAACGCCCCAGUAACACUGUGGCGUUGUAACUCGCCAUUGGCAAUGGUCAUUGACUUAGAUCGCUGGGUUAUCUGUCUGGCCAAAGUUUCAUCCUCAAGUAAUACACCCCGGGUCAUAUAAUCCAAAUAUGGGACUAUCCAAUCUGGAAUAGCGUGAAGAGCCGCCACCAAUUGUGCUUCCGGGUCAGGAAUAGCCAAAUCUUCCUCUAUAGGCAACUUGACAGAAGGAUUAUGCAGAACAUCCAAGAAGGUGUUAGGUGGGACCGGCUUAUGCUGAGACCCCAACCGGCUUAAGGCAUUAGUUGCCUCGUUUUUUCUGUGAUUAAUGUGUUCCACUUGAUAACCCUUGAACUGUCCAGCAAUAGCGUCAACUUUGCGGCGAUAAGCCGCCAUGAGUGGAUCCUUAGAAUCCCAUGUGCAUGGAACUCCCUGAGCCACCAAGUUUGAGUCACCGAAACAUCUCACCUGGCUUAAGUUCAUCCCCUUAGCCAUCCGAAGACCAUGGAGCAAGGCUUCAUACUCAGCUGCAUUGUUAGUACAAGGAAACAUCAACCUUAGAACAUAACAAAACUUAUCACCUCGAGGGGAAGUUAAGACAACUCCAGCCCCCGAGCCCUCCAAUUGCAUGGACCCAUCAAAGUGUAUAGUCCAAUAUGUGUUAUCUGGCUUUUCUUCAGGCAUCUGCAGUUCUGUCCAGUCGUUGAUGAAAUCCACAAGUGCUUGAGACUUGAUGGUAGUGCGAGGCAUAUAUUUCAAACCAUGAGGCCCAAGCUCAAUGGCCCACUUGGCUACCCGCCCUAUGGCUUCUCUGUUUUGAAUAAUAUCCCCUAAGGGAGCAGAACUGACCACAGUGAUGGGAUGACCCAGAAAAUAUUGCUUAAGCUUCCGGCUGGCCAUGAACACCCCAUAAACGAGAUUCUGCCAGUGUGGAUAUAUCUUCUUGGACUCAAUAAGCACUUCAAAGAUAUAGUAAACCGUCCGUUGAACUGGAUAUUCCUUGCAUGCUUCUUUCCAUUAUACCACAAUAGCUACACUAACAUCCCGGGCGUCAGCAGCCACAUAUAAUAGCAACGGCUCCUUAUUAAUAGGAGCAUCAAGGACUGGCGACUCAGCUAGCCGUUUCUUCAUAGCUUCAAAUGCGUCAUUAGCAGCAUCACUCCAGACGAAGUUAUCUAUUUUCUUCAUCAUCUGGUACAAUGGUAUGGCCUUCUCACCCAACCGGCUUAUGAACCGGCUUAAGGCAGCAAUACGACCCGCCAAACGCUGAACAUCAUUAAUACACGCCGGCUUUGCCAGGGAGGUAAUGGAAUUGACCUUCUCUGGGUUAGCCUCAAUGCCUCUGAUAGAAACCAGAAAACCCAAAAGCUUGCCUGCUGGCACACCAAAAACGCAUUUGACCGGGUUAAGCACCAUCUUGUAGACCCAGAGAUUGUCGAAGGUCUCCUUCAAAUCAUCUAUCAAAGUUUCCUUCUCUCUGGAUUUCACCACAAUAUCAUCCACAUAAGCAUGAACAUUGCACCCAAUCUGACUGUAGAGACAGUUCUGCACACACCGCUGGUAAGUUGCCUGGGCACAAAGGGCAUAAACACAUAGCAGAAGGCUCCAAAGGGAGUGAUGAAAGUUGUCUUCUCCUAGUCCUUAACUGCCAUCUUGAUCUGAUGAUAACCAGAAUAAGCAUACAAAAAACUCAAACGCUCACAACCCAUCGUAGCAUCAAUGAUUUGAUCAAUACGAGGGAGAGCAAAAGGAUUAGUCGGACAGGCCUUGUUUAAGUCUGUGUAGUCCACACACAUACGCCAAGUGUCGUUCUUCUUAAGCACCAACACCGGAUUAGCCAACCACUCAGGAUGAAAGACUUCAACAAUGAACCCAGCGGCCAAGAGCCGGACCACUUCUUCACCGAUGGCCUUACGCCUCUCCUCAUUGAAGCGACGAAGGAAUUGCUUGACCGGCUUAGAUUUUGGAUCAAUAUUAAGAGUGUGCUCAGCGAGUUCCCUUGGUACACCCGGCAUGUCAGAAGGCUUCCAUGCGAAGAUGUCCCGGUUCUCACGGAUGAACUCGAUGAGCGUGCUUUCCUAUUUUGGAUCCAGGUUAGCACUGAUACUAAACUGCUUGGAUGAGUCGCCAGGAACAAAGUCAACCAGCUUAGUGUCAUCGGCCGACCUAAACUUCAGCACCGGAUCAUGCUCUAUAGUAGGCUUUUUCAGAGAUGUCAUAUCAGACGGGUCAACAUUAUCUUUAUAGAACUUCAACUCCUCUAUUGCACAGACAGACUCGGCUUAAGAAGCAUCACCCUCUUCACACUCCAAAGCUAUUUUCUGACUCCCAUGCACUGUAUUGGUCCCUUUGUAACCUGGCAUCUUGAGCUGCAAAUAAACAUAACAAGGUCGUGCCAUGAACUUAACAUAAGUUUGUCGUCCAAACAGAGCGUGGUACGGGCUUCUUAUCUUGGCCACUUCAAAGGUUAACUUCUCGGCCCUGGAAUCAUGCUCAUCUCCAAAGGCCACUUCAAGCUCAAUCUUUCCUACGGGGUAUGCCGACUUACCAGGCACCACUCUAUGGAAAACAGUAUUGGACGUCUUAAGAUUUUUUUCAGUUAAUCUCAUGCGACGGGAAGUAUCAUAGUAAAGGAUAUUAAUGUUGCUACCUCCAUCCAUGAGUACCUUAGUGAAUUUGUAUCCACCAACCUGAGGCGCCACCACCAAAGCCAAGUGACCCGGAUUAUCAACCCGGGGCGGGUGAUCCUCCCGGCUCCACAUAAUGGGUUGCUCAGGCCAUCGCAAAUAGUGGGGACCUGCCGGCUCAACGGCGUUUACAGCCCUCUUAUGGAGCUUCUGGUCCAGCUUGCAUAGACUUGUGGUGAAAACGUGGUACUGCCCGCUAUUCAACUGCUUCGGAUGACUUUGAUAUCCAGACUGCUGAUGAUGCUGACUCCCUUGACCGGAUUGUUGAUUGUAACCAUCCUAAUUACCUUGAUUAUAACCACCCUGAUUACCUUGAUGGUGUUGGUGGCCUUGGAAGCCGGAAUUAGAACCGCCACCUCCAUAGCCCGAGCCAUGAGAACCGCCGCCACCAGAACCUGAGCCGCCGCCCGGCCCAUGGUUGUUUUGAAACAAAUUCGAAUUUUUGAAAGCCCUCAUAAUUGAACAAUCUUUCCAAAGGUGAGUAGUUGGCUUCUCUUGUGUGCCAUGCUUUGGAAAGGGCUCAUUCAGCAACUGCUCAAGAUUGGGACAUGAUCCACCGGUCCGAGGAGGCGGCCUCCCCUUACAACGCUGAUUAUUUCUUUGCGCAUUGGUGUUAGCCACAAACUCUGAGUUACCAUCAGCCUUGCGCUUACCGUUGCCCCCCUGAUUCGUAUGGUUAUGCAACGGACCCUUGGCGUUGCCACUCUUCUUUCCCUUUCCCGGCUUGUCAUCAUCAGACUCGGGGUCCUUGGUACCAUCAGAAUUGGCAUAUUUAAUUAGAGCCACCAUCAGCUGCCCCAUAUCAUUGCAAUCACGCUUGAGCCGCCCCAGCUUCUGCUUAAGAGGCAAAAAAAUAGCAAUUUUUCUCCAACAUUAGGACUGUAGAGCCCGCAUUCAUGUUAUCGAAUGAGUGUAUGAUAGCUUUGACCCGGCGCACCCAAUGGGUCAUUGAUUCACCCUCCUCUUAGGCGCAAGCAGCUAAAUCCACAAUUGACAUGGUGUCGGUGGGAAACGACACCUAUGGGAUCACAAGAAUCCCUAGUACGGUUGCGAGGCGCUGGGUUGUGAGGAGAGCAGGAUCAGCAGUCCGUACGAGCACGUGGUCAUUUACCCAGGUUCGGACCGCGGGGAUGCGUAAUACCCUAGUCCUGCUUUGAUGUGUGUAUUUGUGUUCUUGAGGUUCUUGAACUAGCUACAAUGGGAGUAACUUGUCCAAGAGUCCCAAUCCUUCUCCUGGAUGCCUCGAGCCUAAUUUUAUAGGCAAGGGGAUCGCCACAGUGGCACGCAAGAGGUGGCAUCGGGGUAUUGUGAUUAAGCCUAUCCCUCGCCAUUACGGGGCAAAGUGCAUUUAAUGCGCCCCUAACGUGUCCCCUCCACUUUACUGCCGCUUCGCCCUGCCUUGACACGCGCCUGGGCCAGCGCGGCGGUGGUGCCUUGUAGGCUGGCAGGCUGCUGAGGUGGCGCGGUGGUAGGGCUUUCACGAAGAUUUUCAUGCCAACACGUAGGCAUGCGCUGAGUUGGCCGAGAAGCCUGGUGCUGACACGCAUGUGUCUACCCAGCUGGUGGGCUGGUAGCUGCAUGGGAGCGAUGGCAGAAGCUUGGCGGGUGCGGGCCUGGCUGUGGCCUCACGGAUGUCCCCGGCAAGGGCCUUGCCGGGGCCCUGGCAAGGCUCUUGCCGCGGAAUUGCGGUCGUCCCCAACAAGGGUCUUGCCGGUGGUUUUGUGGGUUUCCUUGGCGACGAUCUCGCCGAGGUUCGUCGUCUUCUAUUCUUCUGAUUUGAAGUAUUAUCCUUGUCUUCACAAAGAUCUGCAUGCCAUCAUGGUGGCGCCUCCCAAGCCUUGGUCCCAACACGGUUGGUGGUGCUGGAGGAACCAGGGCUCAAGGGUGGCGUGCCUUGCUGGCGUCAGGUAGGCUGCUCCGGCAAGGGCCUUGCCGGGGCCGUGUGGGAUGCCCCGACAAGGACCUUGCCGGGGGAAACCAUUUCGCCUUCUUGCUCUUUAUGCUUCUAUCUUGGCGUUGCUUUGAUCAUGUGUUUCUGCCCUGCUUAAGCGUGGUCGUGGGCGCGGCUCUGACUGCCCGUGCACAAAUAAGGGGUACAAAGGAGCGCCCGUACUUUAGUACAGUGACAGGAGCCCCCGGGCCUGGGCCACACAUAAGCACGACACGUUGUUGGGCCAGGCCCAGAACGGUGUGCGGGCAGGCGGGCGGUUUUUUACCGCGGUAACUUUCCGUCCGCUGCGCUUCCCCAUGAUGACCGUUGAAUGCGCGACAUGGGGGGCGUGUGUGACGUGGGGGGCAUGCGUGGGGCGGUCGCAGCAGGCAUGUGUCAUGUCGCAAUAAAUGGGAAGAGGGGCGGCCCGCGUCUUCCCCAUAAAAAGGAAUAACCGCGGGCGCGCGGCUCAUUUACCCCAUGUGCUUUCCCCAAUCUCGCUAUCACCGUCCCCAUCUUCUUCCUUCCCAAGCUCUUGCUCGCCGUUGUUGUGCUUCCCACUGCCCCCAGCUUCUCGCUCUCUUCCGAGCCGCCAUGGCGCCCAAAUCUGGCAAGGGCAAAGGUGUGGCCGAGGAUACGAGGGAGAAGGAGACGCCGGAGAGCGAGGCGGCGGCGCGGCGGGCGCAGGCCGCCUACUUCGUCCCAUCGUUCAUUGACGCCCUCGAUCUCAGGGACUACUACAAGCCAUUGUGGGGGGUGACAUCGGCACACCCCGCCACGCGUGCCCUCCCCGCGGAUUGCAAGAAGGGCGGCCAGAAAUGGUACCCAUUCUUCGUCGACUUCUUCUUCUGUGGGCUUUGCCCCCCUUUUUCCGACUUCUUCAACAAUAUCAUGCGCACUUUUGGCUUCCACCUACUGGAUCUUACGCCGAAUGCCGUGGCGCACCAGGCAUAUUUCGACCAUCUCUGCAAGGGCUUCGUCGGGGUGGUGCCCAGCAUGGCGCUUUUCCACCACUACUUCUCCCCCCUCAUCCAACCUGGGGGUGCUCUUUCUGGGACCAUCACCUGGAUCCCGACGAUUCAAGAGAGAGGCGCAUACCCAGAUGGCACCACAAAGGAGAGGUGGGAAGAGUGCCGGGGCCGGUGGUGCUGGAUCGUGGGGGAGGACCCGCCGGAGUUCUCCUGGGGCGUUCAUCAGGAGCCGCUGCCCCGCGGCGCGAACUGGAGCGACCUCCACCCCAAAGAUAAGAAGUUCCCGAUCACCACCACCAGGAUCCGCCGCCUUACUGAGGUCGGGCUUACCCUCAAGAUGAUCACGGCGGAUUUCAUCUGCCGCUGAAUCACUCUGCUACACAAGAAGGGAAGGCUGGCCUGGGAUUUCAGGAACACGUCUGACAUCAUGAGGCUCCGCACCGGCCUGCACAACAACUUCACGGUGCUGGGGCACUCUUGGUAUCGUCAGAGGCUCUUCCAGCUCGAGGAGUACGCUGACGGCAAGGUGAGGAGGACCGGCAAGGCUGCAAAGUCUGGCAAGGUUGUCAAGGGGCCCUUGUUCGGGCUGCCGCCAGGAGUGGUCCCAUUGAGCAACAACUCCCGGUAGGCCAAAAUCUUGGCCAUGAUGCCACCCUUUAAUGCGCACGGUCUUGACCCGGCCUGGGUCGAGCCCCCGGCACGCCAGGUGGAGGAGUUCUUCUCUAAUUUGGUCGAAGAACUCGACCACGACGAACCGCGGCUCAUCCAGGACACCACCCAGGAGGAGCUGAACUAUAUUGCCGCUAGGGCGAUGGAGGCGAAGCUCGCCAGGCUUGUCGGUGAGGCCGGUGGCGUGGAGAACGAGGCCACCGUGGCCGCAGAGGAGGAGGAGCUCGCCGCGUGGGUGAAGUACGUCAAGGAGGCGGCCGGUGCCAACACCGAGGCCCCCCUGCUGAAGGCAUGGGCGAAGGGUCAUCCGAGGAGGACGCCGAGGCCGGCGAGCCCCCGACUACACAGAAGAGGCGCGUCCUGCGUCGGGCCAGCUCCGGCAAGCCGGUCUAGCCUGGUAAGGCUGUGGCGCGGCAAGGGGCUCCGGGGGAGGCCGCGCGCAUGACGAGGGCCGCGGUGGCGAAGGAGGCCGCAGUAGCGAAGAAGAAGACCACGAUGGCGAAGAAGAAGACGACCGCCUCUUCUUCAUCCAAACGCUUCCAGACUCCUUCGCCUCCCCCUCGCCCCGCAGGCGUCGGCAUGGACAUCGGCAUCGACUUCUCGUCCCUCAGCCCGAGGGGGAAGAGGAAGGCAGCAGAGGAGGAGGAGGAGGACGAGUAAGCGCUCUGCCCCUUGUCAUUUCCACCCUUACGAAUCAUGCCGCCCUCCUUGAUUUGACUUGUUCUCGUAGGAAGAUGGAGACACUGGCUCAGCGGGCGGUGAAGAGGGCCAAAGCCUCGACGGGCAGCCCGCCUCCGAUGGGUACUUCAAAGGCGCCGCUGGUGGUGGAGAGCAGCCCGGACAGUAGCCCGCGGCGUAGCCCCCGGCUCAGCCCCCAGCAUAAGUCCACCAUCCACCCUUUGCCAACGCUUGUUGGGGCCCGAUUCUCUUGUUGUUGACCUUGCCGCGGUUUGCAAGAGAAGAACCGCAGCAGCAGGAGCCACCAAGGGACUCCCUCACCACGCCGCCCCCAUCGACCACACUGCCCAGAGGGGCGUCCCCGGCAAGGGUGCCAGAUACCGAGCCCAUGCGCACAGAGGAGGAGGUAGACUUGGGUGAUGGUGGCUCCACCCUAGCAACAGACGUUGGCGGGGAGGGGGCCACAUCUUCCCAGCCUGGCACGGGUGAGUCAUUCGUUCUCCAUUGCUCUUAUUUCUUUUCUCUUGAACCUUGGCUUUGGUCCUGUCUUAUUUCCUCCUUCGGCAUCUAGGUCCCCCCCCCCCACUCGACGGACCAGGGGGACACCGACACCAUCAUCGAGGAGGCUACUGCGGAUGACAUGGCUGAGGCUGAGAAGGUCGCCACCAAGGCGGCCGCCGAGACCGCGGCCGAGGAUGCCGCCAAGGGGCUUGCCGGGGAGACCGGCAAGGGCGCCCCGAGGAGGCUGGCAAGGGUGCUGCCGAGGAGGAGGACGUCAAGGCCUCUACCGAGGAGGAGGCCGGAAAGGCCUCUGCCGAGGAGGAGGUGGUUGGCGAUCAACCCUCCUCGUCCGCCGCCUCUGGCUCAGGCAAGUACCUAAAGGUGAGCGACAACGUGUUCGCUCACCUCCCAGGAUUGGCAAGCACCAGGGCGCCGGCCGAGGGGGAGGUGUUUGACGAUGAAGUGCUCACCGGCGCCGGGCUUGAGGUCGUCGACGAGCCGAACGCUGGUGGCGGCACCCAAGAGGAGCGGCUCCUCCAGGCCAUGAGUGCCAGCUUCAACAAGCUUCAAGCGCUCCACUGCGCCCGUCUGGACAAGGCGAAGUCCAAGGAGGCAGUGGCGCACAAGGUGGAAGCAGACCUUGCGGAGCGCGUCGCCGAGGCGCAGGCCUAGUUCCGCCAGGCCCACGAGGAGCUAAAGGCCGCCCAAGACCAGUUGGCGCAGCGUGACUUGGAACUCCUCCUGAAGCAGGCCGACUUUGAGAAGGCCCGAGAGGAACCAAGGGAGGAGGCCUCCAAGGCCAAGGCCAUCUGGUAUUAGCGCGAGGCCGAGCUGAACUCCCAGGAGGAGGAUCUUGUCCCCCGUGAGACGGCGCUUGCCGCUACGCUCCGCGGCAAGGACGAGGAGGUCAAGAAGCUUGCCGCGGCACGGACCCAAGAGCUGGAGCAUAAGCACAAGGAAGCGCUCGAUGCCCAGGCCCUGGCCCACGGCAACAAGGUGAAGGAGCUAGAGGCGGAGCGGGGCGGCCUGGCAAAGCAAAUCCUGGAGCUGUCCUCAAAGAAGAAAAUGCUCAACGAGGCUCUGGUCGAAGCGCAUUCCGCGAUCCUCUGCAAGGAUGGGCUACUCUCCACAUCCAACGACACCAUCAAUGACCUGAAGCUCAAGCUGGUGAGCCUUGAGGGGGCACUUUCGGAGGCCCAGACCCAGGAAGGAGCCCUGACCAAGAUCCUGGCGGAGGAGAAGCAACUACGGAAGAACAACGCCGCAACCAUGCAGAUUCCAUGAAGGGCGACAAAAUCUGGACCGACCGCCUCGCCAACGUCGCCAACAAGAUCACCAAGCAGCUGGCCGGGCGAUGGCGCCCUGGAAAAUCAUCCAUGACUUCAACAACGUGUUGGGCAGCUUGUCGGGCGAUGCGGACCUCUCAGGGUCAAGGAGCGCAUCGAGCCCAUCAUCAGCCGCGUUGGUGGAAUCCAGAGGUUGGAGGGCCAGCGCCGGGACUAGGGGCCUCGUUUCUUGUUGCCGCUAUAGGUUCAUGACCAAGACAAUUCACAUCUUUAGUUAGAACCGCAGCAACAGUUGGUGUAAUGUAACUCUACAGUACUUUUAAUAUGAUGCAUGUUAUUUCCCUGUUUAACCUUUCUUUGUACGUCCACCCUACGCUUACUGGGUAGGCUUGCCGGCGCGUAAACCCAAACUGAUGCACUUCAAAAGAUGGAGCCUUUAGCGGCCGGCAGGGUGUGCUUGCCACCGUGCAAACCAACUUGUCGUUCUCAGCGUAGCCACUCGAACUGCCGAGCAGACUCGAGGCAGAGCGAGAACAUUGCCGAUAGUGGAAGGCCACCCUGCCGCUCUCGGCGCAGCCGCUCGAUCUGUUGAGCGGACUCGAAAUAGACCAAGAGCGUUGCCGAUAACGGAAGGGCCCCACUGCGUGAAGGUUUCCCAUACAUAGGAAAGAUCUCCGAGGAAGAUAACCUUAUGUAAGAAGGAAUUUUUCGAAGUUUUUGCAUGACUUAGCUUUUUUUGUCGUCGCACGAACGCUCGCCGCAUCCACCAAUGGGGUUGCUCGCCUGGUCGCCUUCUUCCUUGGAUGCCAUGGUGAUGAAGAGUUGUGCUACUAGCCGCUAAACCAGAUGCUCACUACCUCGCGCAGCCCCUACCUGGAGCGCCAAAGAUGUCGGUGGGAAACGACACCUAUGGGAUCACAAGAAUCCCUACUACGGUUGCAGGGCGCUGGGUUGUGAGGAGAGAAGGAUCACCAGUCAGUACGAGCACGCGGGUCGUUUACCCAGGUUCGGGCCGCGGGGAUGCAUAAUACCCUAGUCCUGCUUUGAUGUGUGUAUUUGUGUUCUUGAGGUUCUUGAACUAGCUACAAUGGGCGUAACUAGUCCAAAAGUCUCAAUCCUUCUUUUGGAGGGAUCGCCAUAGUGGCACACAGGAGGUGGCAUCGGGGUACUGUGAUUAAGCCUAUCCCUCGCCAUUACGGGACAAAGUGCAUUUAAUGCACCCCUGACAUGUCCCCUCCACUCUACCGCCGCUUCACCCUACCUCGACACGUGCCUGGGCCAGCGAGGCGGUGGUGCCAUGUAGGCUGGCAGGCUGCUGAGGUGGCGCGGUGCUAGGGCUUUCACGAAGACUUGCAUGCCACCACGUAGGCAUGCACUAAGUUGGCCGAGAAGCCUGGUGCUGACACGCAGGUGCCUACCCAGCUGGUGGGCUACCAGCUGCAUGGGAGCAGUGGCAGAAGCUUGGCGGGUGCGGGCCUAGCUGUGGCCUCACGGACAUCCCCGACAAGGGCCUUGCCGGGGCCCCGGCAAGGGUCUUGCCGCGGUGUUGCGGUCGUCCCCAGCAAGGGUCUUGCCGGGGGUUUUGUGGGUUUCCUUGGCGAGGAUCUCGCCGAGGUUCGUUGUCUUCUAUUCUUCUGAUUUGAAGUAUUACCCUUGUCUUCACAAAGAUCUGCAUGCCAUCAUGGUGGCGCCUCCCGAGCCUUGGUCCCAACGCGGUUGGUGGUGCUGGAGGAACUAGGGCUCAAGGGUAGCGUGCCCUGCUGGCGUCAGGUAGGCUGCUCCAGGAAGGGCCUUGCCGGGGUCGUGGGGGCUGCCCCGACAAGGACCUUGCCGGGGGAAACCAUUUCGCCUUCUUGCUCUUUAUGCUUCUGUCUUGGCGUUGCUUUGAUUGUGUGCUUCCGCCCUGCUUAAGCAUGGUCAUGGGCGCGGCUCUGACUGCCCGUGCACAAAUAAGGGGUACAAAGGAGCGCCCCUACUUUAGUACACUGAGACAUGGGUUGUUUGCAUGUGUCUUUAAAGUUCUGGAUAAACCGGGCCUUUAGCUCAGCCCAUGACCCGAUGGAAUUAGCUGGCAGCCCUUUUAACCAAGUACGGGUCGUCCCAUCCAGCAUCAUGGUGAAGUAUUUAGCACACGCAGCAUCACUGACCUCCAACAGUUCCAUGGCCAUCUCAUAACUCUCAAUCCACGCCUCAAGGGGUAAGUCAGCUGUGUAGUUAGGCACCUUACGAGGUCCUUUGAAAUCCUUGGGCAAAUGCUCAUUACGCAGAGCCGGCACCAAACUGGGUACACCUGUAGUUCUAGAGAUCACGCCUGCCUCUAUCGAAGUCGUUGGAUAAACCGGAAGGGGCUCGUGAGCCGCCCGCUGAGCCGCCUGCUCAGCCUCUUGACGCACUCUUUCCUAAUCGACCAAGUCAUGAGCUCCAUCAUGCGCCGGGUCAUGCCCACGUGGUUGGUUACGGCGUUGGGCAUUGCUUGAAACGGCUGGUGAGUCCUUGUGCUAUAACUCCAGCUUGGGCGAGGGGUCGAGUGAAUCCUAUCUCGACUAUAAGAAUAUGCCUCCUGCUGCACCAAUGUUGUUUGAAGAAGUUCCCUAGCCCUUCCUGUUUCAACCGCUGCUGGAGAGUCGCCAUCCACUGGGAGAACCGCCAAUCGUGUCGCCGCAGCGAUCAUGUUAUCCAAAGGGUUGGAAUAAUGACUCGAUGGUGUUGGUACAUUCUGAGGUGGAGCGCUAUUCAGACGAGGAGGUUCCGUCAUGCAUGGUUGAACCGGCGUUCCUACCCCAGGUGCUGCAACCCGGUUUAUCUUUGGCGGGUUACUGGUCCCCGCUCCAGGCGUGCAAAAGAGGUUUCUCGCCUCGUAAACCGGAGGUAGACAAGACUUGUGCCUCCUCCUCAUGAUUUCCUUUGAAGCGUUUUGAUCCAUCGUAAGCCGGAUAGCCUCUGACUGAAUCCGCUGGGCCUCAGCAUACAGGGCAGCCCGUUCCGUGGCCAUCCUGACGUCCUCUGCCGCCAUGUUUUCCUUGGCUUGUGCUACCUCAUCACGCAUUUUUGCAAUUUCUGUGCUAUGCUGAGCUUGAUUUGCCGGGUUAACUGCUGCUGUUAACAAGGCUAUGAGCUUAUCCAUCAACUUCGUCAACACCUAAGCCGGUGGGCGCACAGGGCCUCCUACCCCGGCUGUCGCAACCAUUGCUGACCCAGAAGUCAUUGUUGUCGCGGUUGAAGAAUUCUGCCCAGGUUGCGUACCAGCCAUGAAGAUUGCAACCCUGUUCAGCGGCUCAUAGGGGUCUGGAAUACUGUCUCCACCGGAACAGCCCCCAAGCCCGCUGUCUUGCAAUUGAUACAAUGAAGUAGUCUCGCGUGUGGAUGACUCACCGUCAGAAUAGUUGGUCGUCUCACCUCCAGACAUUGACCCUUCAUCAAAUUCCGCUCCAUGGAUGAAUCCCACGAAGUCAUGCUUCACGACGGGCUGAGCUCAGGCAGGUCUCGCACGCUGAGCCGUCUGGAUGAUAUCGGUGAAGAUGUCCGGCUCAAGGCCCGGCUCGCCGAUCUUGCUGAUGAACACGUGAAUUCCACUGAAGGGGACCCAGUACCCAUACUCAAUUGAGCCGGCCUCGGUGUCCCAGCCUACAUCGUCGAUGUAGAGCUUGCCACGAUGACUCUUCGUCAUCUGGCCCAUAGUGUGUAUCCCUUGAGCCCUUCAAAGCUUCCCUUUAAGAACUUGAAACCACCGUGCGCUGUACCCAUGGUGGGCGCCAACUGUCGUGGAAUAGUCACGGCAGAUGUCCUAGCGAAAGGACUUAGUCGUGGAGCCAUCGCAACUAGGUUAGCUUAAAGGGGUUAAACAGGACAAAGGACACAUGAGUUUAUAUUGGUUCGGCCCCUUGCGGUGAAGGUAAAGGCCUAAUCCAGUUUGAGGUGGUAUUGCUUAUGUCUCAAUUACCAGGGAGCGAAUCCGCUUGAUCUAGCUUUCAGUCUCUUGUUUUUUGCCCUGAACUGCCGCCGGGCCGUCCCUUUAUAUACACAGGUUGACGUGCAGCGGCUCACGGAAUUCUGGCCGGCUCAUAGACAAUGUGUCCGGCUCGGUGACUAUCUAUACAUGCCUUACAAUACAAGUCUUACACAUAUGGCGGUUUACUCCUACGGGCCUUAAGUCGCCCUUGGGCCCUUGCCUGUGAACCUCAUCUUCAAUAUCCUCGUGGGCUUCAUAUUAUAAGUCGCCAUGGGUAUAACCCGGCCCCUCCUGUGUGGGUCAUACCUAAUAGAUAUAUCCCCAACACCGAGGAAGAAGCAAACAGGGAAAGAGAAGACUUUUUGAGAGUGUCCUAUCCAAAGUUGUUUUCCCAAGCAACCGAAUCUCGAGGACGAGAUUCAUCCUAAGUGGGGGAGGUUUGUGACACCCUGGUUUUUGCCAUCAUGAUUUUCAUUUGCCAUUUGCUUUAAAAUGAGUUUUGAGUUGAUUCAUUGGGACUUAGCACUUGGGCAUUGUUUUGAUUUUCACCCAAGUGACUCCCCUCACCUCUCACGACCUCUCUUGACCUCUCAUUCAUCAUCAUGUUACUUUGGAAUAUUUUUCUUUUAAAGAAAAUAUUCAUUUUCACCCUAAAAAUGGAAUAUUUUCGCUUUCCCUCCAAGCAACCCCUAUGUUUCUUGCCUCUAAAAAUCUGAGAAAUUCCCACAAACCCUUUGGACCUUUCCCCAUCAUCUCAUGCAAAAAUAUCAUGUGGUCAUGUGGCCCAAUUUUGCUAGACAAAAUCAUUUCCAUUCUGACCAGAAAAUGCACUUUGUACAUAUGAAGUGUAUUAUUCUUUGAUCUUUUGGAGCUGAAUUUUCUUGAGCAUCAUUACCUUAGUGACUUAACCCUAAACCCCAAAGCUCAGCUCCUAGCCCUUCCUGGUUUGAUCACAAAUUUGGCCACAAGUUUCUGUCCAGGAACUUGCAGUGAGUGUUGUGAUCUAUCUACUCAUCCUGGCAGUGUGUUCUCAACUUUCCUAGACUAAACACUACAUGGUCGAUAGCCCCAACAUGGUUUGGCCUCACCUGGGCACUACGUUGGCAUAGUGCACGCGGUGACCCCGUGUGGACACUGCCCCUGGUGCGAGUCCGGCGCGCUCUGCGCUGUGCCCGCCCUCUGUUUCGCCCGUGCAUGUCUCACUGCCGCGCCCAGACUGUCGCACCACUUCACCAGCUUUGCGUCAUCACCUCAGACCCCUCGUUGCCACUCGCCGCCGUCGGAGCCGCCACAGCGAUCAUGAGCACCUCGCUCCAAAGAACAUAGUGCGCCCGUGCUCAAGUCAGGCCCCCUCCCUUGCGCCCUGUGCUCGUCCUUGAGCUUGCACAGUGGCCGCGUGAGCCCUGGCGCCUUCUCCCCCUCUCAUGGAUGCCCCUUGUCGCCUCCCGAAGCCUCCAGGGAGCUUGUCGAAGCUCGCGACCCCAUCUUGGCUCCCCUAUAUAUAGAGCCCCACUUCGCCCUUCCAAGCACCUCACCGCACUCCUCUACAUCCACAAAUCCUCCUAGAUAGCCGUGGCCCGGCAGGGCAGGCCUCUGGCCGCCGUUGCCCUCCCGAGCCCAUCGGCAAUCCCCUCCCUUGGCCAUCCACCUCUCCAAUGCCCCUCGAGCUCAGUCCACUCUUCGAGCGCCUCCCUAGCAGUCCACUGGUGCAAGAGAAGCCCCCUGGAGCCCUUGGAGUCACCCGUCCUCACUGUAUUCUUCAUCUCCGACGAGCCUCGCCCGCAGCCAUCGCUGGAGAAGCUCGUUCCGGUCGACUCCGUCCACCUCCUGCCUUGCCACGGGUACGAGCAGGUGCGCCAGAACCACCUCUCUCGAUUCCUUCCUUCCCCGAAGGCUGUCGAGCCCUCCUCACUGGAGAGAUCCCCGGCGACGAGCCGCCGUCCUCUGUUUCCCUCCCCCUCUCUUAAAACCUGACGGGCGAGGCCUGCUGUCAGCCUCUCCACUCGCGCCCGAAGCAGUACGAGUGGAGGCAUAUUCGCUAGAAUAUGCUUCAACGUCAUUCCCCCCUGAGACUAAUUUAAAUCUGAUUUAGAUCAUAUUUGACCAGCAACUUUGACGAGCUCUAGCUCCUAUUCUAUAAGUCCAAAUGCAUUGAUUCUUUUUGUAGUAGUUUUGUAUUGAGAUUCUUUAUCAGCACACCAAAUAUUUGCAUAGUGCCAUUUCAAUAGCUAUGAUUUUUCUAACUUCAAUAUGGUUUAUUUCAUGCAUUAAACCAUUUAAAUAAUAUUGCUUAUGGUAAUUCAGUUAUCAUGCUUGAGUACAUAGCUUGCUGUAGUACUUGAGUGCAUGGACUAGUUUGAUGCGGUAGUGUUAUUUUGAUAGCAUGUCUAUGGUUUGGUAGCGAUCGGUAUUAUUCUCAUAUUAUGGUUUAUUAUUUUCACCAUGCUACCAGUGUCUCUAAAUGAUUACUAGUGCAUGCAUAAGGAUUCUAUGAUGUUGAUCCGUUUCAUUCCAGUGAUAUAUGGAUAUGGUUGCAUGUGAAGGAAAUAUGCCCUAGAGGCAAUAAUAAAGUUAUUAUUUAUUUCCUUAUUUCAUGAUAAAUGUUUAGUAUUCAUGCUAGAAUUGUAUUAACCGGAAACAUAAUACAUGUGUGAAUAUGUAGACAAACAUAGUGUCACUAGUAUGCCUCUACUUGACUAGCUCGUUAAUCAAAGAUGGUUAAGUUUCCUAAUCAUAGACAUGAGUUGUCAUUUGAUUAACGGGAUCACAUCAUUAGGAGAAUGAUGUGAUUGACUUGACCCAUUCUGUUAGCUUAGCACUUGAUCAUUUAGUAUGUUGCUAUUGCUUUCUUCAUAACUUAUACAUGUUCCUAUGACUAUGAGAUUAUGCAACUCCCGUUUACCGGAGGAACACUUUGUGUGCUACCAAAUGUCACAACAUAACUGGGUGAUUAUAAAGGUGCUCUACAUGUGUCUCCGAAGGUACUUGUUGGGUUGGCGUAUUUCGAGAUUAGGAUUUGUCACUCCGAUUGUCGGAGAGGUAUCUCUGGGCCCACUCGGUAAUGCACAUCACUAUAAGCCUUGCAAGCAUUGUAACUAAUGAGUUAGUUGCGGGAUGAUGUGUUAUGGAACGAGUAAAGAGACUUGAUGGUAAUGAGAUUGAACUAGGUAUUGAGAACCGACGAUCAAAUCUCGGGCAACUAACAUACCGAUGACAAAGGGAACAACGGAUAUUGUUAUGUGGUUUGACCGAUAAAGAUCUUCGUAGAAUAUGUAGGAGCCAAUAUGAGCAUCUAGGUUCCGCUAUUGGUUAUUGACCGGAGAUAUGUCUCGGUCAUGUCUACAUAGUUCUCGAACCCGUAGGGUCCGCACGCUUAAAGUUCGGUGACGAUUUAUAUUAUGAGUUAUGUGUUUUGAUGUACCGAAGGUAGUUCGGAGUCCUGGAUGAGAUCGGGGACAUGACGAGGAGUCUCGAAAUGGUCGAGACGUAAAGAUCGAUAUAUUGGACAACUAUAUUCGGACAUCUGAAAGGUUCCGAGUGAUUCGGGUAUUUUUCGGAGUACCGGAGAGUUACGGGAAUUCGCCGGGAGGGUCAAUGGGCCUUCAUGGGCCUUAGUGGAAAUAGAGGGCAGCAAGGAAGUGUGGGGUGCACCCCCCCCUAGGCCCAAACCGAAUUGGUUUAGGGCUUUGGGGGCCGGACCCCUCUUUCCUUCUUCCCUCCUCCUCUUUCCUUCCCCUCCUAGUUGGACUAGGAAAGGGGGAACCUACUCCUAGUAGGAGUAGGAUUCCCCCCUUGGGGCGCACCCUAUGAGGCCGCCGGCCCCCUCCCCUUGCUCCUUUAUAUAUGGGGGCAGGGGUGCACCUGUAGACACAACAAUUGAUCUCGUGGAUCUCUUAGCCGUGUGCGGUGCCCCCUCCACCAUAAUCCACCUCGAUAAUAUCGUAGCGGUGCUUAGGUGAAGCCCUGUGUCGGUAGAACAUCAUUAUCGUCACCACGCUGUUGUGAUGACGGAACUCUCCCUCAAAGCUCGGCUGGAUCGGAGUUCGAGGGACGUCAUCGAGCUGAACGUGUGCUGAACUCGGAGGUGUCGUGCGUUCGGUACUUGAUUGGUCGGAUCGUGAAGACGUACGACUACAUCAACCGUGUUGUUCUAACGCUUCCGCUUUCGGUCUACGAGGGUACGUGGAAAACACUCUCCCCUCUCGUUGCUAUGCAUCACCAUGAUCUUGCGUGUGCGUAGGAAAUUUUUUGAAAUUACUAUGUUCCCCAACAGCAUGUCAUAUAGUUGCAUGUUAAUGGCAUACUAUGACCCGAGUUCUUUCAUUUUAAGUUAAACCUGAUGAUAAUUCAACUUGAACAUAAUGUUGAUUGAGUCAUGGUGCCACCGAAUUGAGCUUCCCAGUGCAAGCACAUUUGCCUUUAUGGGAAGGCCCUUAUUCGGUCUGUUAUCAUGCCUCUGGUCAGUGCCUUGAACGAGGGAAGGUUAUGGGUGUGCGUUACCCUGGCCCGGUAAGCAGACAUAACCUUGUGUGCCUGUUUUUGUUUAUGGUGCCAUGUCCCCAUUUGGGACCGUUUAUGUUUUGCCACGACGGUGGACGUUGGAUGUCCAGGAGUGCCAUCGGGGCCACCCAUGACUCAGCCCAAAAGGGGAGUUGGUCGGAGUGGCCGGGAGAGUGUCUUGGCAAUGGGUUGGUUCUGUCGGAACACCGUUGGCCCACCCGAAUGGGAGUACGAGGCCAUGGGUUCCAUGGUGUGGGUAUAGCAUGUUAACCUCUGCAGAGUGUGUGUUAAAUCUAUCGAUAGUCGUGUCCUCGGUCACGGACACAGUUCAUAGUAGGUCACACCAUGGAUCAACAUAAAUAAGUUAAUCUUGCACACUAAAGUUAUAUGGUUGACACUGGUUAUGUGAUGAGAUUGUUGAAACCAUGAAGAUGGUUGUUGUUCGAACCAAAGAGUCGGUUUCCUUUGUGAUAUGGGAGUGAUCACCGUAUUGAUGGUGUUGGUUACAAGGUAACCUGUAUGGUAAGGGAGUCCGAGGGACUCGGUGCACGAGCAUGUUCACUUCAUGAGUAGCAUGUUAUAGUCUUGCAUUUAACCUGCUUAAUUUUCAUGUUAUGUUUGUCAUUAUGCUUUUACUUAUUGUGAGCUUCCAAGUACAAUCAAUGUACUGACCUGGCAUGUCAUGCCAGCUUUCAAGAAAGUCAUACCGGACCGGAGUUCUUCCCGUGUCUAGGUCGUGUCCACAUCGGUGUCUCUGUGCUACGGAGUUCCACUUCAUGGUCGUUCCGCUGCCGCGUAGUUGUCGUGAUCGAGGUCCACUUCAUGUUCAUUAAAUAAUGUACAUACUGUUCAGCUGCACCUUGUGUGCCGCUUGGCCUCGCUACCUGCUAUAAUAUCGAACCUAUGUUUUCGCUGGCAUCAAUAAAGCGGUUGUUUUCUGUACCAAGUUGUUGUGUGUUGCAAGAAGACUAGAUCCCUGGGCUAGCAAUGCAAGGUAAACCGCUUGCUCUGAGCCGGGGUGCCACAUUGUCCGAGGCUAAGACGUAGUUGACCCGAUCAAUAUCGUCGCUCGUAAUGGGGUCGACGAUGAGGUAGUCUUAUGGCGUGUGGGUGAGGCGGCAACAACCGCAGACCAUCGUGACGACUUCGACGGUCGACGCGGGAUCCUCCGGAUACGCGUGGCCAGGGUGGCCCACUGAGUUCGCCGGUCCUGGUGCCGGUGCAUACUCUCUAGAUUGGGGGCAACCGCCAGGAGUACCGCCAAAGAUCCUUGAGUGUUGGGGCGGGCCGGUAGGUUGAGUUUGACCCGGCCCGUCCUGUUAACGACAAAGGUGAAGGAGCCAAAGGUCAGGCUCGUUCCCGACGGAAGGUCACCAGAAGACGGAACGGUUCCGACCCAAGAUCGGUCUCCAUCCCGCGCCCUCUGUGCCUGGUGCACCAACUGACAACACAAAAUAUCAUCAAAUCCCUCGGUAGGGGUUCGAGCGUGGCUGGAAGUCUUCGAUCAGAGGUCGCACAAGGGAUUUGUCUAGACUCGGGCCUCCAGAGAGUAAUACCGUGCAUCCUGCUAGUUUUUAUUAUUCGUGGUGGAGGGAUACCUCCUGCAAGGGGUUAUUAUGGUGUAUGAAAUUGUACUGAGAGUUUGCCUAUCUAAGAAUAGACGAUGUAGAGGGGUCCCGGUCUUCCUUUAUAUAAGCCAUAAGGUCUAGGGUUUACAGAGUAGUAGAUGCGAUCUGGGGCGUCGCAUCCUUAGUAUUGGACAACAAGAAGGUCUGUAGCACUCUCUAGGACUCCCUCAUUGUACUAGGCUGAGCGGCCCCCUUGUUGGUGUUGAGGCCGAGCUCCCUUGGGAGAGCCAUCCCUGGUCCAUGGUACCGUCACCGACCAUCACUCAUUGUGUGAUAAUGCAAAUCCACUACGCAAUGUUGCAAUCAACGAUGCCACUUCAAGACAGUACCUAGGAAUGGCUUGCCACUGCAACACCCGAGGUGGGUGUGUUGCUGCAAAGGGCCCCGAUAUUGCAAGGCAACAUAGGGUUGGCUGCCCCGCGAUGCUGCAAACCGGUGCAAGUUGCUACAAGGGAUUGACCACUGGUUGUUGACACUGAUGCUCUGGAGGCAAACUGAUGUUUCAAUCUAGAACGGGGUGUAUCGCUCGGUGCUGCAUGUGAUAGUCAACGGCGAUGCUCGGUGCCGCGAGGUGGGGAAGGGUCGUUGGCAUAGGCGUUGUGGCGGUGUUACAAGUCGAGUGGCAAUGUCCACGAUGUUGCGAGUUGUUGUGUCGCAAGGGCCUUUCCUAAUGCGACGCGAGGAGAAUGAAGCGGAGACAGUCCAUACGACCAAUGCCAAAACACAAUGCUGCAAGACUAGUAUGGUCGUUCUUGCAAGCAAAACCUGCAACUUUCCAGGCCAUGACACAGUGCUACAAGUGUAGGACCAACACCAUUGCUAGCCAUGACACAAAUGUUACAAGUUGGGUCCCACACCACUCCAACAGCUAAUCGGGCUAGGACAACUAGGACGUCCUAGGGUCGAGCGCUGCUUCUUCAAAAGGCGGAGCGCCAUGUUGCAAAUAGUAAAAAAAAAUCUUUGAGUGUGGUCAACCGCGGCUCAUGGCGUAGUAAAUUUUGGAUAAAUUGGUGUUGCCUAGUUUAUUGUUUUUUUAGUUUGUAAAGAGUUGCUGAGUAAUCAAAUAUUUGUUGGAUAUUUUUUUUAAUUAUAAGGAAAAAAUCCCUACAAAAAAACAAAAUUUUGUUUCAAAUCUCAACAUUUUGUGUGUUUGUUGUAAAAUAUCUUUUUUAUGUUGCACUCAUGUAAAUUGCCCGACUCAGAUUUCUUGCUCAACCCACCAUUAGUUCCUUGGAGCAAUGUAAGGGCAUCUCCAAUGUGGACCCUCAAACCGCUCGCAACCGUCAGGGACACGCGGUCCGGACGUGUUUUGCCAUCAAAAUAGGUCGUGCAUUGGUCCGCCAACCGGUUUGGCGCACUUUAUCCCGCGAACCCCAGAAAACUGAGGGCCUUUGCGGGAGUCUGGACACAAGCCACGUUGGACUCAAACACCCUAGGCCCACCCAAAACUAAGGCGGAGCCCGCACUUUUUAAGCUGGAUUCACUAUUUCCGCAGCAAAAUCUCCCACUCUCUUCUUCCAUCCCAUCAUUCUCCACCCAAUUCCUGCCAUUUUCUCCCACUCACUUCUUCCCUCCCGCCAUCGAUGCAUGGACCUGGAGGAGAACCUUUCAGAGACGGAGGUGGUGGAGGAUCCGAGCCUCACGCUCACCUGGAAGAUCAACUCGAUGACACAACAAAAUCACCACAUCAAAGCGAAGGCUGCAAAGGCGGAAACAUUUAAGAAGUAGAAGGACGGCUGAGGCGAGCUGGUGGUGGACGUGGUGGUGGGCGUGCUGGUGGCGGACGUUGCGGUGGUUGUGCUAGUGGCGGAUGUGGUGGAGGUCGAGGACGGGAUAGCGGAGCCCCACUAUUAUCGUCAACCGUGUAACUGCCACCAUGGCUGGAGCAUUCCGAGGCUCCAUACUACUACGCCGCCAAGCAGCUCAGUAGGCUUUCCAUGACAACCGCCACAAGGCAAGUGCCUUUCAUGGUCGACGUCAACGUGGCGCCGCUGCUUUUCUCGGAGUGUUCAUGACCGCGGCUUGUCUGGACGCAGACAACGGAUGUGGAGCACAUGGGUGCCCGCAUGUUGUUCGCUGGUAUGCCUAAAGCUAAAACCGGCAUAUGACGACCUGGUAAGGGAGAUGUUCAACAUCAUCCAUGAGGUGGGCGGGAGAUGAGGUUGCUUUGAGGACAGGCGUGUGGAUGACUCGGAGCCCACCCAGUCGGGCACGCAUCAGGGCUACACCCAGCAAGGCACGGACACACAACAACAGAGGGUUGUCGGAUGACAGGAGGAGGAGAAGGACAGCAAGGAUGAUGAUCCGGAUGAUUAUGUUGGUGAUCCAAAGAAGAGGAGUAGAGGAGAAAGCUUCAACAUGCGUGAGGACGAGAGUGUGAUGCAUGGUUGGCCACUAGCCUUGACCCGCUCCAUGGCACGGGGCAAAGGGCCCAACUUUUUGGGCCAACAUUCGCGCUCGGUGCCAUGACCACAAGGAUUUCACACCCUACUCUGAUGCGGUCAUCCGCAACCAUGAACCAAAGUCUCUUAACCAUCGAUGGCACACCAUCCAAGAGGCUGUGUCGAAGUAUUGCGGCCACUUGAGACAACUCAUCGCACUGUAGCCUAGUAGUGCGCAAAUCACCAAGCAAGCAAGUUGUUAAUAUGUGUACAUCAUUUUGGCCGAAUAUGCAUUAUUGUGUAGAUCUCUUUCCGAAUAUGAAUUGUUUUGUAGUCGGAUAUGCAUUGUUGUGUAGAUCACUUGCUGCAUAUGAAUUGUUGUGCAGAUCGCUAGCUAGAUAUGAAUUGUUUUGUUGAUAAUUUGUAGUUGGAUAUCUAUGCAUAGGUUUCUUGCCGGAAUGCAUUGUUGAUUUAUAUAUCCAUUUUGCAUCAUGUUUUCCUACUAUUAUUUUAAUUUAUUUUUAAGUUAUAUUCCACUUUUUGAUGCAAUUCUAAUGUAUUUUCUCUCUUAAAAUGCAAGAUGCACCAAAAGAGGGAGAUUGUCGACAGCUAAAAUUCUAGCCUGAAAAAGCUACAGUAGAUAUAGCUAUUCUCCGAAGCUUCAAAUGACCUAAAAAUUUAUGGAAAAUUAUUUUGGAAUAUAUAUAAAAUAUUGGAAGAAAGAAGUACAAGAUAUAAACCUCAGUGGGGCCACAAGGCAGGGGGCGUGACCUACCCCCCAGGGUGCACCCUAGUUCCUUAUGGGCGCCAUGAAGGUCAACCGAUGCCCAUCUUCUCCUAUAUAUAGUCAUUUACCCUAGAAAAAAGGACUUUCAGGACAAGUCGCCACCGUCUCGAGGUGGAAUCUGGGUAGGAGCACUUUUGCUCCUGCCGAUGAAACUUCCCUCCGGGUGGUGGAAAUCGAAGCCAUCAUCAUCACCAAUGCUCCUCUCAUCGUGGGAGGACUCAUCUCCAUCAACAUCUUCACCAGCACCAUCUCAUCUCCAACCCUAGUUCAUCUCUUGUGUUCAAUCUGCGUAUCAAACCUCAGAUUGGUACCUGGGGGUGCUAGUAGGGUUGAUAACAUCUUAUAGUUGGUUUACUUUGUGGAAGAUUAUAUGUUCAGAUUGUUAAUUACAUAUUUAUCCCAUCUGAUCAUAAACAUAAUCAUGCUUUAUGAGUAGUUCUGUUAGUUCUUGAGGACAUGGGAAAAUCUUGUUAUAAGUAAUCAUGUGAAGUUGGUAUUCGUUCAAUGUUUGGAUGAUACGUUAUGUUCUUUUUCCUCUAGUGUUGUCGUGUGAAGGUCGACUACAUGACACUUCACUAUGUUUGGGCCUAGGGGAAGGCAGUUGGGACUAGUUUCUAGAUGAUGGUUGCGGGAGUGACGGAAACCUUAACCCCAGCUUACGAGUUGUUCCGUAAGGAGGUUGUUUUGGAUCCUUUUGUUUAAUGCUAUACUUAUAUUUAUCUUAAUUCUGCUCUUGUAUUUGUGGAUGCUUGCAUGGAUAGGGUAAUCAUAAGUAGGUUGUUUGUUCAAGAACAACAACUUAGCUUCGGUCCACCCGCAUAACAACUUGUCAAAACAAUGAAUGUGAAUCAAUGAAACAUGAUGAAGGUAACUAGAUGAAUUCUUGUGCGUCCUCGAGAACGCUUUAGUCACUAUAAGAAGUAGUUUCGGCUUGUCCUUAGCAAUAUUUUCGAUUGGGACACCUUGCUACUUUGGUUACUUGUUACUUGCUACUACUUGUUUUGCUAUCAAACUAUCUGUCACAACUAUCUUACAACACUUGCGGAGAAUACCUUACUGAAAAUCGCUUACUGAUUUCUUCUGCUCCUCGUUGGAUUCGACACUCUUACAUAUCGAAAGGACUAUGAUUGAUCCCCUAUACUUGUGGGUCAUCAUUGACAAUGUAUUGUUUUGUAGCCUUCUCGUGCAGGUACUGUGUUCAAGAAAUUGGAGAAGGAAAACUUCACUGUCAUGCAUUGUUGGUUGAAGUUGCAAGGAUGAUCCAAAUGGAAUCUAUACAUUGCCAAGAGCGCCACCAUUGCAAGCGAGGAAGAAACCAGUGAUCCAACCGACCCAACAAAAGAACCAUCCAAGAAGGUUAGAAGAGGAUUAUGGGGAAAGAAGUGGAAGAAUGAGAGGACAAAGCGAAAAGGUGCAACAGCAAAGAUGACAGAGAGAUUCAAAGACAUCUUGACGAAGAAAGAUGAGGCAUACGUCAAGCGCUCGGACGUCAAUGGGAAAAAGGGAGGAGUGGUUUAACUUUGAUGGAGCCGACCGAGAAGAAGUUCAAGCUCGAAGAGAAGGAGACAAUGCUUAACUAGAAGAAGGUGAGCUACGGAGGACGCGAAGAUGUUGACCUUGAAGGUGGUGAAGUUAGAUGACGGCGUAAGAAUGAUCGUGCAAGCCGUCCGUUACAAGAUGUUGCAGCAGCUGAAGGAUGAGCUAGAGAGGACGGAGAAGGAGGCAGCCUACAUGGUGACGAUGACAGAUUAGAGUGAGCUCGGAUUGCCGGUCCGGCAAGGCAGAAAAACUUUUUUUUAACGAACUGUCGGACCGAUAUUCUUUUGUGCCCGGAUUGCGGGUCUGCGUUGGAGAUACUUGGGAGAGUUUAAAAGGAGAGUGGCGUGACCGUGUACGAGGACAUUGGAGCAAAGUGCGAACGUCAGUGCGGCCUGAUCAUUAGACCCGGCUGAUACAAUAGCCUCGUAUCAGCCGGAUGACGCGUAGUGUAGGCCAAAUCGUUUGCACGCACUGCUUUGCUGCGGUCGCUAGAAGCAGUGAUCCGUUCUAUUUUCGUUAUGCUGUAAUAAUUUUACUUAAGCUGACGCAACUGUGUGUACCUCAAGUUACACCAAUCCGCUCGUACGGUGUUCAUUGCUACUGUAGGUCUCACUGGUAAUCACAAACACAAUCAGAAAAACAGGAUGUUUUUUAGGGAAGAAGCAGGCCGUCUUAACAUCCUCUUCAUCAUUUUUUAGGGAAGAAACAGAGUUGAUGUAUAGACUGUAAAAUCAAAACAGAUAAAGUUACAGUACAUGAACAUCACAGUCACUAGUAAAAUCAUCUCCGGUAAACACGGAGGCCUGAUGUAGACUGUAGAGGAGCCAACGGAGUUGGCGAAAAUAAUACGGAGAAGGUGAAACGAAGAUACAUCCAAGUUGAAGAAACAAGCAUGAGUAUGGAGCUACAGCAUAUUCCAAGUAUUCAUACAGCGGGAGGGGGGGACACUACAGCACCCUCCAUCUGUCAUCAAACACAUCUUCUUUUAAACAACAACAACAAACAAGGCCGUAUCAUCAUCAUCAUCAUUCAUCAUCAAACAUACAUCCAACAUGAAGAAAAGGCGGCGGCGGGGGACAAAAAAGAAAAGAAUCGAAUUACAGACUAGCAGCAGGGUAUAAAAAUCCAUCCUGUACUUUCCUCGGGGUACGGACGACAUCGUCCGUCUGCGCCCGGCGAGCAGCAGCACCGCCGUCGGCACCUAAUAAACAUCUUAUGGACGGACGCAGGGGACAACCUUACUAUGAUGUAAC
rnacentral:lncRNA from 1 species